rnacentral:lncRNA from 1 species
UAUUAUUUAUAUUUUUAUUGUGACUUAUUUUUCAUGCCAUAAUUAAGAUUUUUAUUUUUUGUUUUUUUUUUAGAGAUAAGUAGAACGCUACCCGCUUCGUUUAUUUCAUUUAGAAAUAAACUUAGCUGAAAAUAUAAAUCAACUAGGAUUCGAACUUAAAACCUCAUAUACUGAUCAUAAUUAAGGUUCUCACUCCCCAACAAAGCGUAGCUACGAGACACUGCCCUGUGAUCUGGCUUGGGCCCUGCUCUUUAUCUUUCCUCCAUUUUUGAGUUCCAUAGGUUAGGCCACAACCUACUAAUAAAGCUUUUAUAUAUAUAUAUUGCAAUUUGCAAACAGUGGCAGUUAAGUCACGGAUCCAUUAGGAGAAAAUUACAAACGGUUCCUCGUCACAUGCAGGAUCGACCAUUUUCAUAAUGUUUUUAUAAAUCAAUGCAUAAAUAAAUUUCCCACAUUUCUCAACUUCUCAUAGAACCCAAUUCAUCUCCAAAAAUGUCUGAUAUUGUGUCGCAAUUAUUUGUCACGCUCUUACUAAUAGGCUCAAGAUAUGAAUUUAAAUAAAAAAUUAUUUAUUUUUUUUGCUAUGAUGCUAUACGAAAUAAGAUACAAUUAUUAUUGUUUUCUAAAAAUUUAAAUUAUUAACUAGCAGUAUUUUAAUAUUAUGUUCAACAUUUAAGGAAGGUUUUAAUGGUGAAUACCCAAUUCUACAUCCCUAAAAAAGGAGAAAAAUAAAAUAAAAAAUAAAAAAGAGUUGUUAGAAUCGUUUUUCAAAAGUAAAAUAAAAAAGAAAAUGUAGCAACCAAUGAAAAAUGGACACAUGUAUUGGAAAUUACUAGAGCUUUUGCACUACACGGCCCACCGCCGCUAAUUUUUAUUUGAAGAGAUUCGGUUUUGCUACUUUAAUUGUAGGAGUUGUUGCAUUAAUUAAGAACUUAAUCUCAUCAUAUAAGUUUUAAUGCUAAUCCUCUGUGCUUUGUCGAGUUUACCAAUAAAUAUUUUUAAAAUUUGUGCUAAACUAUUUCUAAAUAGAAAAUUGAAACUAUAACAAAGAUAUAAAAGUUAUCUAAAAUAGUAUUGUGGUGUUAAAAUAUAUAUUCACUAGUAAUAAAAAUUUCAACCUGGGUUUCAAAUAUUUCAAUGGAUAGAAACUCUGAUGAGCAUUGUUUUAUUUGUUGUUCUUAUGUUUUCUUUUUUUUUUUUUUAAAAAAAAUGCUCUAAUAAUUGGAGACCAAAGGAACAUUGAUGACGAAUUGACCUAACAAUUUUGCAUGCCUAGCAUAAUGCCACAAGGUUAUUCUUUGGGUCCCGCACUAAGAGUCAAUUAUGCACUGCACAAAUUUAUACAAUAUAUUAAAUUAUAUGUUUAAACCAAUUCACUUAAAAAUAAAUAGAUACAACGCUUACCGAUUUUUGAACUCGUGAUCUCUCACUCUAAUACUAUUUGCCGAAUCGUUGGCGCUAGCCACUACUAAAAACUCGAACCGCUAGAAAAGAACAAUCAAUUCACUUAAUGCGAACAUACACAACAGCCGACGAGUCUUAAUUGUGACUCGGUUCAAUCCGAUCUCCGCCACGUGAUAGGACGCUGACCCUGACCCUUUUAAGUCAAUAUUCGUCAAUUAUAUAUGCUAAAACAUGCAUCCAGUACCUAUAAAAAAAACAGGAGAUGUAUAUUAGUUCUUAGAUAAAAAGUCUUAAUAGAGUUUCUAAACUUGAAUUUACUUCAAUUAAUGUCUUCUUUUAAAUGGCAUGGUGGUUCCUUACACCAAUCCAUUAAUCUGGAUUGCAUAACAAGCUUGCCUAAUAUUCCUAUUAUUUUCUUGCUUUUACUGGAUGAGACCACCAUGUGUAACUACACUCAAAGCAUGCAUCAAGUUCUUUGGUCCUGACCAUCUUAUCUUUAGUUUGGUAAUCAUUAUGGCCACAGCUUCAUUAUCAUACUUUCCUUUAGAAAUUUGGGAUCUACAAGAUAAUUUAAUACUCUAAGCAACACAUUACUCAUACCGAAUUGUAUUCUUCUUUGUAAUCAAUUAUCGACCGAGUCUGUAAUAUAUGUUAUCCAGAAAGAUCGAUGUGAUACUGGUUGAAUUUGAAAACUUUUAUAAUAGAGAGAGUUUGAAAUUAUUAUGAUGUCAUUUUAUCGAAAAGACAUUUAAUAAAGAGUAGUUUAGAAAUAGUUUUGAUAUAUGAUACAUGCAUUGUCAAAUUAGACCUCACUCAAAGUUCCAUCCUGCUUGGGCCAAACCCAACAAAAUUUAAAGCUGCUUUUUCCCCUCUAAAACAGAGCCUUUAGCUCGUGGUUCUCUCUGCCCAAUGCUCUGUUUACUUAUUUUUAAUUCACAAAUUUAAAGCUUAAUUUCUCAAACUCCCCACUAAUCCAUAUAACUAUUCACAUGCGUUGCCACAGGAAACACCUAGGAACCCUCACUCAACACAUGCACCCCAUCCCCUUUCUCGCAUUUAUCUAUCUAUUUCCUUUGAGCCGCACCCAAAUACACUAGCAGAGAAUAAUAUCUAUGCGAGUUAUUCCAAAGCAUAAAUUAACAAAACAAAGAAUCCGUAACAUAAAUUAACCUUUAAAAAAGAAAAAAAAAAGAAAAAAAAGCCCACAAGGGGGAAAUAAAUGCUUGCCACGUGUCACAUCUCCUACUCUAAUGGUCCAUCAUCAUUAAUCAUUAAUCUACUUAAAAAAUUGAAGCAGUGUUUCUCACAAUACACGUUUCCCUUUAAUUUUUUUAUUUUUUUGCCUUAUUCAUGCACCAUUUCCACAAUUCCGCCUAUAUAUAUAUCCCCCUCUCCUCAAUCCAAUCUCAUCACCUCAUCUAAAAGCUCUAAAAAGGAAAAAGCUCUUUCCCUAUAAUGUCACACAUCUCUGAAACAAAGGCCACUUGUAGUUUCCUUCUUAUUUUUCUUGUGGGCUUCGUAGAUUUUUGCUAUGGCUCUAGAAAACUAAGUUCUCUAUACCAACCACCCCCCACUCUCCUCGCAUACCACAAGGGUGCUUUACUCCAAGGAGAAAUCCCCAUCUCUAUACUGUGGUAUGGUAAGUUCACCCCUGCACAAAAAUCCAUCAUCUCCGAUUUCAUUCUCUCACUAUCUAGUCCCUCCUCAACUCCAAUUACACCCUCCGUUUCCAAAUGGUGGAGCAACGUAGACAACCUAGUACAAAAAGCGGGUAAAAACAAGACCCACAUCACCCUUGCUCACCAAGCAUCCGACGAGCACUGUUCCAUUGGGAAAUUGCUCAAGAGGACACAGCUACUCGAACUGGCCCGCAGAACCGGUUCGGCGAAGGCCGGGGUGGCGCUGGUCCUCACCGCGGCCGACGUCGCGGUGGAGGGCUUCUGCAUGAACUCGUGCGGCUCCCACGGUGCGGUCGGUAGCGACGGUGCGGCAUCGGCGGCGUACGUGUGGGUCGGAAAUUCUAUGGCGCAGUGCCCGGGGCAGUGCGCGUGGCCGUUCCACCAGCCGGUGUACGGGCCGCAGAGCCUGCCGCUCGUCGCCCCGAAUGGCGAUGUCGGCGCCGACGGCAUGGUGAUCAAUCUCGCCGGCCUGCUGGCGGGGGCCAUCACGAACCCCUUCGGUAGCGGCUACUUCGUGGGGGACGCAUUGGCGCCCGUGGAGGUGGCGGCGGUGUGCGCGGGGGUUUACGGGAAAGGGGCGUAUCCGGGCUACGCCGGGGAACUUCCGGUGGACUCGGCAACGGGGGGGAGUUACAACGUGGAGGGAGUGAACGGGAGGAAGUUUCUGGUUCCCGCCAUGUUCGAUCCUCUCACUUCUACGUGCUCUCCUGUUGUGUGAAGUGGAGUGAGGUGAUUGAUGGCCCUUUUUGUAAAUUGAUGACGCAUAUGUGAAUAACAACGAUGUUGUAAUAAAAUUUAUGAUUGGUGGUGGAGUUUUCAAAAAAUUGGUGAAUAUUUCUCCAUGUUUUUCAUUACUAUAUAUAAAGUAAGGUUUUCAUUACUAUAUAUAAAGUAAGGGAUAAUUUACCAAUUUAUUGGGUGAUUCAAAUAAUUUAGAAAAAAAAAAAGAAAAAUUCUCUGACAGGCCCAGUGUGUAAUGGAUCGUAGCUAAUAAAAGGCCGAGCCAAUACGUAUAUAGGCCCCCAAUUUCUCCCACUCCAAUAGCCCAAUUCCUCAGCAAUUCUCCAUCCCCUAUUUCCCUCCUCUUCCUCUCCCUCUCCCCUCUCUUUCUCUCUCUAUUGGUAUUUUUCUCUCUCUAGAUCAUAUGGGAUUUGGGGCUUCGAUCUCUCUCUCAUGAUCUCUUGUUCUCUCUAGAUCGUGUGGGAUUUGAGGCUUCGAAUGGUGUAUGCAUCGCCGCAAUGCCCCACUCGGCCUUCGACGAAGCUCUUUGGCGAUUGCUACGGCCAAUCAAUUGCUCAGAAUCCUAAUCUAGGUAUUUUCCUCUUACUUCGCCCUCAUGAUUUCGGUUUUCCCCAGAUCAUCGAAGCCCUCAUGCGAUUGAUGCUUUGUGUUGUUGGAUUCAUUUGUUUGAGUGCGCAAAAGCUAUCGAAGAGUUCUUGAUAUUUAGAUUUUAGCUCUUAAUUGAAAGCUACAAAAUCAACAAUUACAAAAUUAGGCCAUAGAUGUACUGAUGUGUUGUACAUGGAACUUAGUUGUUUUUGUGUGGUUGUGAACGAGAUGCAAACGACAUCGCAGUUUAUGUUAAUGGGAACGUGUAAAUCGAGUGAUCUGACAGUGUAGGUGUAUUGAUUUAUGGUUGAAGUAAAUAGUCAUAUUGAUUAAGCUUUUAGGCCACAACAUGUAUAGUAGAGUUGAGCAAUCGUGUGACACACUAAGAUGUUACUGGCCAACUUUCGAUGUUAACAAAGAAGAGUGUUACCUACCAUCCCUAGGGUAAGUGGCCAAGGGCUCGGUGGUUCGUAUCCGAGGUUCUAAGUUCGAAUUCUAGUUGAUUCAUAUUUCUAGCUAAGUUUAUUUCUAAAUGAAAUAAAUAAAGCAGGUAGCGUGCUACCUAUCUCUCAAAAAAAAAAAAAAAACAAAGAAGAGUGUUCGAGUGUUGAAUUGUGCUAUAAAUUAAGUCAAUGAAGUUCUGACACUGAAAUGAAGUAGUGAGAAUUACCAUUAAGCCUUCAGGAUAAAGCUUCCACAAAUUCUUAAGCUCAUCAUUUUAAAAGUGUCUUCCGUAGAUUCUUUCUUGUGAUUAUAAUUAAACGACGAUAAAUCGGAUGGGGCUAUCACUAGGGUAUCGAAUUACAAUCCAAGCUGAGAAGAUAUCAGCAAACCGAACUAUAAAGCUUCCUUUAUUCAACACGUUUAAAAAUCGGGUCAAACAACGACUUGGAAUAUUACUAGAUGAAGGGUCACUGAUACAUCCAGUGAGUCAACCAUUAGUUGAACCAGUAAAGUCAGUAUAAUAUCGUAAAUAUUUUAUUAUAUAAUAUAUAUAUAAUAAUAUUAUAUAUAUAUAGAGAGAGAGAGAGAGAAUUAAACUGGAAUGUUAUCAGUAGCAAACAGGCUCCGGUGCUAUCCAUUUAUUUUCAAUGAUAGAGUCUUCAAAUCGACGAUCGGCAUCGUAGAAUAUGAUUUAUACCACUUGAAGUAUCUAGAAAUCAAGUUUCAAAUCUUUUCGACAUUAUUGAUCUAAUGAGCAAAGGUUUUCAAAAUUUGUAGUUUUAAUGGUCAAUAUGAUGUGAUUUCGCGUUUAACGGUAUAAAGAUAUCCAAAUUAAUUGAAUUUUGAUUAGAAAUUUUUUUGGUUAGAAAAUUUUUUAAACUAUCCAAAAUAAGAUCUAUACUUUUGAUCUUGAUUACAAGAUCCCUAUCAUCACUUUUUAAAAAAUAUUCAUUUUCAGCUGUUCAUUUUUUGUGUCCACUUGAUGAACAAAAGGAUAAUAUCGAAAAAGUAUGAAAUUUGAUUUCUAGAUGCUUCAAGUGGUAUAGAUCAUGUUCAAUGAUGCAGAUUGUUAAUUUGGAGGCUCCAUCAUCGAAAACAAAUGAGUGGCAACGGAACUUGUUUGCUACUAAUAGCAUUCCAGUUCAACGCUAUAUAAUAUAUAUUAUUAUUCUAGUAUCAUGCUUAAUUUUAAAGUAUUGAUUUUUAGACCAAAUUAAGUAAUAUAAAUUUUUAAUUUACAUAUUUUAUAAGACGCUAACAGAAAAUAAAAUCAGCUAAGUUGAUUUUAGGUUGUUGGAGUUUAAUAUGACUUAAUCAAAAACAUCCAGCCGGUUCAAUUAAAACUGGGCCGAUUCAUCAACAUGAACGGUUUGAAGCGGUUUUCAUCUUAUCCGGUUCAAAGGUUGAACCGAACCGCUUCAUAGACUGGUUACAGUUAGACCGGUCAAACCGCUUGGUUCGCUCAAUUUUUAAAUCAUUGCUUUUAGUUGCAACAAAAUUCAGAAAUUAGGGUUAACUUUAGAACAUAAAUAGAAAAGCGAGAGAGAGACGAGAUUGGAGACUAUUUCUAUAUUGAUGUUAUUAUUAAUCUCUCGGCAAUCAGACACAAAUGAAGUGGAUAGUAUGUAAGAUUGUUAAAUAUCCUGCCCCACAUCAGUCCUUUUCUUCUGUCGAUCAUCGUACUCCUUUUUUUCAAUUAUCUUGCAUAUUAACCUUAUUUACUAUGUGCACUGGUGUCUCUACAUGCUGUCUUUGACCAGUGAGUCACGCUGAUAGCGAAAUUCACCCUCAGCGCUUUUUCUCAUAUUUCUACUUCUGUGGUUACCGUAAGCUCUGCAAGAUCUGCUCAUUUUUAUGUUAGUGGAUCACAUUUUUCGUAUAAUCAAGCAUAAAGAGAUCUAACUGGACAAGGAUCCAACGCACAUGAAUAUGUAGAAGUGAAAAAUCCAAGCCUAAUUAAUACUAUCGUUGAUUCUUUAUUAGUUAUUUCCUUCUUUUCACAUUUUCAAUUGUGCCCUUUUUUUCAUGUUUCCCGAUGUCCUUUGCAUAUUAGUGAUUUUGUAUAUAUGCGAAUAUUGAUCCUAUGUUGAUAAAGGAAAAUGUAAUGUAUGUUGAUCUGUUCAUUGCUAGUAUAAUGUUUGCUUAUUUCCACAUUAUUAAUUGUCAAAUGGGAUGGGAAUGACUCGUUGACAUUUUAUUCUCUUGCACUACGUUAGCAAAAGAUAUAAAAGCAACGGUAGAAGUUAAUCACCUGUAUUUGAAUUGAAAGUGAUCCGUUGAAUAAAAAAUGAACUUGUUUACUUAAUUACCAUUUAAUCUUCAUGAAGGUUUAUUAUCUGUCAUUUGUACAAUUUAUUAAGUAGUUUCUAUAAAGGUUUUUUUGUCCCCUUAUUCAUAAUUACAGCGAAAAUUUAUUAAUUUAUUAUUUUGAACUUGAAACUUCACAUGCCUUUGCUUGCCCUGAUGCUAAGGCCGCUGAAAUCUUAUGAUUUGGUUGGAGAUGCAUCCUAAGGAAAUUGAUAAAGAAAAGUCUUGCACAACUUGCAGUAGGUGUCUUUUCAUUAUCGAACAAAAGCAUUCAAUUCCUUGACCUGGUCUACUUGUCUCCUAUUUUACUCGACCGUUGAGAAGAAAUGAAAGACGAUGCUCAAUUUUUUGCAUGAGAUAAUAAAACCUUGAGAUAUUCACAGAUUGGCAAUGUAAAAUUGGCAGGUCUCUUUUUCUUUUUCCAUUAAAGACUUUAUUCCUUUACACAGAUCCAGAUGGCCUUUUACUUCCUUCUCUAGAUAUUUUUCAAAAAAUGGGUGAAGUGAGGAGUAAACUAUGCAGCACUUCACUUAAUAACCUAUCAAGAACUAAAGGUUCCGAGAUUCUCUUCAGUUUUUUAUUGGAAAUCCAUUCAAGACAGACAACUUCAGCUGUCAUUGAUAGCAAAAAGGGCUCAUUACAAUUAUAGGUGGUCCCUCGCAUAUUUGGUGUCGGUUUCAGUUCAAUGUAGUUGACCAGAAUUUUGGUAUCCUAUUGAAGACAGAAGGACAGCUCCUUGAAGACAGAUUGGAUAAAGAUGGGUAGAACUGGGAGCAUCCUAUUACUGAGUUUCAAAGAUUAAACUACAGUAUUUGAAGGCUGUGAAGGAUAUAGCUCAUUUUAUCUGCCUAUUUUCAUCUAUUUCUUUUGAUUUCUCAAAAGUCAUUUUCAACUUCCCUUUUCAGCGUUAUGUUAUGUGUUGUAUUCUACAUGUUAAUGACAAAUCUUAUCUUGGUCAAUUGAACUUUAUGAUCAACAUUCGAUGUGAGUAGCAUCAUGUAUUUUUCUUGCGGAGUACUUUUGCUUAUAGUAUUGGUUGUUCAAUCUUGUUAAAACUCAUCAGGUUAGAUGUGCACACUGAUGUUCUGUUCUUAGUCAUUAAACAAACAUGGAUAGCUGUAAUUUCGUAAAUUUAAUUAUAUUCUGAUCUCUUUAAAAUGCAGGAGUGGUAGCUUGUCCAUUCGACUGUAAAACAACAUAUGCUUCAGACUUUUUAAAAGGUUGCUUAUUUUCCCAGUAUAGGGAAGGCAGAAUACAUUCAGAGCACUGUGCUUGUUGAACGUGAUGGCAGUGUCUUACUGACUAUUUCGCCCAGUCCAACUAGAUCUCGAUGAAUUCAUUGAAGUGGUCAUCAAACAUAAUGAAAGGUUUUUGUUUUUUAGGACCACUUACUUGUGGUGUGGUAUGGCCUUCAUCAUGAAUUCUUGAUGGGAGAAAACUCUACUGUACUACGUCGUUCGUCUUCUGGGCCUAUUCAGAGUGGUCCAAUAUAUCUGCCAUGGGCUUGUCCUUUUAUAAAUUUACCUUCUGGGCUUGUGCUAUUUUUCCCUACUGACCCAAUGUCAACUUUUUAUGAACUUAUUCUGAGUCUUAACUUCCUGUUAUUUGAACAGUAGUAAGCAUUCUAGUUUUGUUAUGUCAAUAUUAUGUCUGUUAUUUUCAAGAUUACUUUUAUCACCGUAUCAAUAAAAUCUUCCGCAGAUAAUUGCUGUAAGUUAGGUCUUGCCAUUUAGAAGGAUGCUAACAUUUUGAAGUUUUAGUUGGAUUGCAUCAUCAGAGGUCCACAUUCCGAGCACACAUAGACAGUGGCACUGUGUCUAACAUCCCAAAUGCCUUGUUCGGAGCAUUUGUUACAGCAACUGAAUUGGUCAUUGGACUGGAAAGCAUCUGGUUUAGAAUUUAGCGUUAACAAGUCUGGUUCUCCGCCUUUCCUACCAUCGCAAACAAAACCAUUUUUGGCGCACAUAUUAGGUUUAGCCCAAACUCACAUGAAACAAGAUAUCACUUAUCUAAUGUAACCCAUCUAACUGGCAAGCUUAAUCUCACACAUUCAGACCGAUGUCAUAGAUUAGCUCUUUAAACUCUUUUAACUUUUAUUCCAUCUGGAAAUAUAUAUCUUUAUAUGUGAAAAUCUUAGCAAUUUUGCUUUCCCCUGUCAUCCUUACUUAUUUUCCCUAGUUCUAUUGACUUGUUUGCUUCCCUCCAGGUGGUGGGCCUCUGCUUGGUUGGUGAUCAGAUUCAAGGCCGCUGUAUGCGUUCCCCCACCCCCAUGUGAGAAAGUAAGGUAGUACGUACCUUAUAAAUUAUUCUCUGCAUCUCUCUUUGACUUGCUGCUUUUUCUUUGUUUUCUUGUCCUCUCACUUUUUCUAUGGUUGUUUAACAAAAUAUAUUUACAUUAAUCACUGGUAUCUUUAAUGUGUCAUAUGUACAAGUUUUUUUUGAUCAUUUGAUUUACAUAUCAGCCCUUUAAUCCUCCUUAGCUCUCCUUUUGUAGAUUGAAUAUAAAAUAGUAAAAUUUUAUUCUCUAAUUUUUUUAAAAAAAUCUUAUAUUAGAAUGUUAAGUUUUGAGUUUAAAUCCACCAUUGAAUUUCGUAAGGUAUUUAAUGAGGUAUCUUAGCUUAAAUCGAAGUAGUCUAAUAAAAGUAUUUAUCCUUCGGACUUGCUAAAUCCACUAGUGAUAACAUUGAUGCAUCUGCUUGUAUAGUUUUCUCAAGAAAGUAUAGAUCUCAGAUGAUGCAAUUAUAAGUUUCUACCUCUUUCUAUUCUCUUUUUCCUCUACUUUUUCCUCCAAGACCGUGAUCUGUGAACAGCGAUCAAAUUUAUAUCUAUAUCUGCUGCUAGUAAACUAUUAUCUGUUAACAAACAAUUCCACCUUUAGGUUUAAGGAGGCAUUACAAAAUUUUUUUUGUCUUUCCUUUUUCCUGCAAAUCUCUUUUUCCUGUAUUUUUCUACCAAGACCAUGAUCUGUAUAUCGUAGAAAAGAAGUGAAGCUAACAUCCAUUAAGGCCAGUUUCUCUCUGUCAAUAUGACAGAUAAAGAGAUAGAUGGAAAGAACAAGACCUCAUGGGCUAUCUUUUCUUUCUUUUCUUGCACAUCCUACCUUCUCCUAUUCUACCCACCUGUAUUCUUUCACCAAUAAAAGAGAUUUGUACCAGAUACCACCAUUUCACAGUUCUUCUCUCCGUGAUUGGGGCUCUGAAUCCUUCUGCAUGCUACUUGGCUAAUCUCAGUAGGAAGAUUGUGCUCAGAGGUUGAUCAAUGAGAAAAUAAAAUCAAUUAAAGAAGCAGGGGCAGAGAACCUCACUCAUGAUUCCUUAGUACCUUUUCUCGCAGCCUCUUUCCCUCUCUACCACAGUAAAAAGAGAAAUUAUUCCAUGUACCACACUCUAUGGACCAUGGUCUUAAAAACUCUCUAGUCUGGCUCAGAUGACAAGAGAUUGUAAAUUAAAAUACAAGUACAGUACUACAUGAAAAGAGUAAUAAAUGAUGACAAGAAUAAAUAAAAUAAUUAAUAGGUGAAAAUUGAGCCUUCAAUAUUUAAGUUGUUAAACUACGCUUUAUAUCAGCGGCACUUCAAAUUCAAAACCGAUGACAAUAAAAUUUAAAUAUAAGUCAUUAGAUGCAAUUUACAAUCUUUAAAUACCUUAUGUAUAACAUAUCACAGUUUUUGAUCUAGUUGUUUAGAGAGCUGUAAAUAGUUUUCCUUUUUUUUUUUGUGGAAGUUAGUAAAUUAUCUGUUUUAUUUAUUUUUUAUAAAAAUAAAUUCAGUUAAAAAUGCGUAAUAAUUAAAUUUUGAACUUUAAGAUCUCGGUUACUGAUCAUCAAAUAUACUUUGCUGACAAUGCAAGGUAAUUUAGAAUCUUGGAUUUGAGUUAUAAAUCUCUGGUCUAUGCCCCGUGGUCCAUGCAAUAAUUUGUCUGGUUAAAUGUUUCCGAUCCUUUUCUCUCGGGCACACAGCCUCUCUCUCCAGUCAUUCAUACGGUUGCAGUCAAAUCCAUUUCCCCAAACGAUAGUGAUUGUUGGGUAUUAAAUCCAUCCUUGUGAUUAAAUAACUCACACCCUAUCAAUAUCACUUUUGCCUCUCCUUUUCCACUUUCCCACUCCUCUAUCUCCUCCCUAGCGGCUUCGAGAGAGAGAGAGAGAGAGAGAAGCACACACACAGACUUUUUACAUGCAAAGAGAGCUAAUAGAAAUGGAACCUUGCCUCUUUUUUGAUGCUGUAGCAUCCCAUUUCUGCAUCUCCCCAUGUCUUGUUCCUUUCCACUGCUUCCUUUUUGCUCCAUUAUAGAGGUGAGACCACUCUCUUAUUUGUGCUGCCCACAAGCGUCCACUUUUAAGUUGAAGCUUUUCACUAACUUCUCUACUGCAACAAUCCUCCUUUUAUCCAACCUUUCCACUCUACUGGAACGAACGUAGGAUCUAAAACUCUCUCUCUCUCUCUCUCUCUCUCUCUCUCUCUCUAUUGUGGGCAAAUGACAUGAGCUCACUGAGCCAUGUGCUUCUCCUUGCUACCACCCUCAUCUUAAUGCUCUUCAGUGCUCCCCACGGAGCACGUUGUACCAAUAGAUCUCCAAUCUCGUCUCCUCAGGUACUUAUCCAGAUCCUAAAAAGCAAUUAUUAUUCUCGAGAGUUUGUUUGAAUGUAUGAUUAUUUUAUCACCAUAUCUAUUUUAUUUACCGAAAAAAUUUCUAGAGCUUGGCAGAAAAAGUAUAUGAGCAGUUUUUUUUGGGUAGGCAUACUCUACAUAUUAGGUCCCCAAGCUGAAAUAUAGAGCAAAACUCAAACUUCAACCUCAUAAUUACAAUAAUUUUCUUAAAAAAAGUUUCUCAGAGGACCAUAACUUGUUCCGACGUUCAAAACAGUAUCUCAAUUUUACUUUUUUUUUUUUGACCUAGUCUCCGUGAGUAUGAUGAUUUCUCUAAUCUACAUAGGCAAUGUUAAUGGAGGAGAAGAUCCGGUUGGGGUCGACGCCGCCCAGCUGCCACAACCGGUGCAACACCUGCAACCCCUGCACAGCCGUCCAAGUGCCCACCCUCCCCGCCCGCGCCGCGCGCCUACGACCGUCCGAAUCCGACGGCGGCGGCGGAGAGCUCUCCUUCAACGAGUACGCCAAUUACAAGCCGCUGGGUUGGAAAUGCAGGUGCCGCGACCACCUCUACGACCCGUAAUUAGCUUAGCUGUGGGAGAGCAGUUAAAAUGGUCCUCCUUUUCGUUUCCUUCUUUUGUUUUAUUGUUUUGAGUGGUAAUUUCGCCAUUUUCCAGAUCUGGGCCCUCGGCGCAGGUUCCCUGGGAUUCUUUUGGAUGCACGCAGUGAAGAGCACUGCUGUUCAUAUUUUUAAAAUCACACCUUUCAUUUGCCGUCGAUAUAGUGUGCGUACAGCAAGUCACGAGAAAUUCUUGCAUAUCCGCACGUCGAUCUUAAUGCAUCGCAUCUCUAAACUGUCAUACUAUGGAGGCGCCGAAAUUAUUAUACUUUAAUUUACUAUAUAUAUAUAUUUUGUCGCUGUAUAUAUAUAUAUAUAUAUAUAUAUAUAUAUAUAUAUAUAUAUAAAAGUAUUAAUUAAGUUUUGAGUAAUUAUAUUUUGUGUCUAGUUUUGUUGUAUUUUUCAAUAUUGUUGGUUAUUUUAAUUAUUCGAUAUUUAGAUACUAAUUUUUUAAAUUUGAAAUGUCUGUCGGUAAUGAUCGUGUCUCCGUGUCAAUUAUCAUGCGGGUACUGACGGCAAGGUCAGAUCUUUACAAGGGUAAAUGAUGUGGCCGGGAUUUCUGUCUACUGUCUACUUUCUACUGUCUACUGUUAGGACAUAUUUAUUUCAUAUUUAGAACAGAAAUAAAAAAUAAAAUUGAAUGGUUUUGAAAUAGAAUUGAAAUAGAAGAUAAAAUGAUGAAUCAUCUAAAAAUAUUUAGUUUAUUACUGGAAUAAAUGUCUAAAUGAAAAUUUAGAAUUUGUUAGAGGGUUUUUUAAUUAAAAGAGAGAAAAGUGAUGAGAAAGGAGAAUACCUCGUGAGAGAGAAUUUUGAAUAGUUUAUUUUGGAACGAGCCGGUUGAAAAUUCAAAGUCCGACUGGACCGUAAAUGAAUUUGAUCAUUCAUAUUUUCAAGUGGAAUGAAAGUCAACAUUUAAUUUUUUUAAAAUAAAAAUAAUUAUUAAAAUUAAUAAAUUAUAUUUAGAUUUUAUAGUCUAAAAUAGGUGAAUUAAAGAACUAGGCUGCUAUACUAUCGGUAGUACGGAACGCUUCGUGCUACCAAGUUGUUUUCGGUGAUGCAGCUUUCAAAUUGACGAUCGGCUCCGUUAGAUUUGAUCUACACUAUCGAAAGUAUUUAGAAACUAAAUUUCAUAAUUUUUUGAUAUCAUUUACCUAUCAAAUAAGUAGUUUAAAAUUGAACGGCUGAAAAUAAAAAUUUCAUGAAAAAUGAUGAUAAAAGAUUUAAAUUCAAGAUCAGAUAUACUGAUCUUACUCAAAAUAGUGAAAAGAAUUUUGUAUAAAAUUUUCAUCGUAUUUGGAUUGUUUUACACUGUUAAACUCACAAACAUACCACAUCGGUCAUUAAAAUUGUCAAUUUUAAGAUCUUUUAAUCACUAGUCAAAUAAUAUCGAAAAAAUUUAAAAUUUAAUUUUCAAAUACUUUCAAUAGUAUAGAUCAAGUCUAACGGAGCGGAUCGUCGAUUUAAAAGUCGCAUUAUCGAAAAUAACUUGAUAGCACGGAACACUACUCGCUACCGAUAGCAUAGUAGCCGAACUCGUGAAUUAAAUAUGGCCUUUGUUUUAAUAUCUCAUAUCAUCAUGUAUACUGUGUUGGAAAUAGAUUGGGGUGUGAGGGGGGUGAGGGGGGUGAUGGAUUUAGUUAUGUUAUCAUCCCGAGAUAGUAGAGGGCUUCCCCAUGUGUUCAUUGAAUGAGAGGUCUCUUUCGCUCUGGGCGCUCGUAGUGCCACCUAGUAGCCUACCUGAUGUCCCCUUUUUUCGUCCUUGUUUUCUUUUGGGAUUAAUUGCACCAUUCACCCUAUUCUUUAUGCGUCUCUUCAUUUUGGUCCUUAUUUAGUCCCUAUGUUUCAUUUUUAGUUUGAUGUUAAUCAUCCAAAUUUGCCUAAAUUUUAACAAAAUGGGCCACACCAACUUCAUUGAAUUCUUCUGUACUCAUGCAGAUCACUGGCAUAGUCCGAUAGUGUCCUGUCAAUUUUGGUACCGAUUUUUUUAAUUUUUAAGAAAAAAUUGAUAGUACAUUUGGUUCGAUGCAAAGAAUGCCAAAUGCUUCGGAACAUAUCAUAGACAUCAUAUGCAGGUCAUGUGGUUAUAGACAUAGCGGACGAUGUUGAGGAUAGUAAAACUGAGUUUGACGUGAUCUGUUUGCAAAUAGGAAAAGAGGUUAUUGACCAAAAUUUUUUUAAAAAAAUUUAGUUUAGAGACUCAUGAUGUAAUUAAUUCUAAAAGCUAAGAAAUUAACUGUAGAAAAUAAAAGGUUCAGCAUCAAUGGAAAAAAAUUUGGUAAACUUUGGGGACUAAUGAAAAACCCUUUUUUAUUUCUUUUGGGUUUGGAAGAAACCCUAGGGAGCCUGACAUAUAUAUAUAUAUAUAUAUAUUCCUGUGGGAACAUCGAUUACUUAGCCUGUUAGCCUGGAUUCCUAUCUUGGACUGGUGCGGAGUAACCAGAAAAAAAAAUUGUGGUAAAAAAAAUAUUUUAUUUAUUUUUAUAAGAAUUAACGCAUGGCAUAGAUUGCAGUAGUUCGAUUUAGUUGUAUUUUUUGUGGCUCUUUUUUAAGUCUGAUAGCGUCAGAAUGCUCUCAAUACUAGACGAGCCUUCAAGGCACCUAAAAAUCUCUUGUAUUUCUAAUCUAAAUUUAAAAUUCAAAUUAAAAUCACACAAUUGAAUUCGCUAUUUAAAUCCAAUCUCACAUAAUCCCAACCUCUUAGUCGACGUUCCUGACUACAUCAAACAUAGAGACAAACAGUGGACCGAAUUAGAUUGAGCUCAAUCUCUUUUAAUCCCUUACUCCAAACAUGCUCUAAUAAAGGGAUUGUGAGGUUUAUUAAAUUUCGUGCGUGAUUGGGCUUUUAUUAUGUGGGCCAAACUUCAUACCUUACCCACCUUGUACGUUGGGCUUGAAUCACAAAAUUUUUACGUAGCUGCUUAGGCUUCGUGCAUUACCUAGGAUGUCAUGUCAUGUAGAUUGUAGUUUUUUAGUUUUUUAUUAAAUUUUUUAAUACAUAUUUUAACCUUUUUCUUAAUCUAAUAGUUUUUCAUGACCAUUGAUACCAAACAGACUCUUAGUUUAAUAGUUUAUUGAAGGACACAUAGUGUCUUAUAACUAUGAAUAGAAUGAGAAAUAAUACUAUUUGUACAUCUAAAAAUAAAUUAUAAAUUUUAUACCCACUUAUUCGAGAACUUAGACACUGUUUUAGAAAUUUUUAAUAUGAUAUAUUGGCCUUUGAAAAGCUCUUCUUUUAAUUCCUGGUCGAUCUAAACUGAUGACUAAGGCAUGCGAAGCCUAAUUUAAUCCAACACAAGAUCGUACUUUUUCCUUCUCUACUGUAUUAACCCAAAAGCAUGCAUGGCCAAAAAUGUUCUUUGUAUGUUAUAGUGAUUUUCUUUUUCUGAUGACACAUUUACGGAAGUGCGACCAUAUUAUAGUGGUGAUUUGCUAAGUUGGCAAUCCCAGGUAGUAAUUUUGUAAAUUAGAUCUAUAUCUAAGUAAAGCACCCAAAAAAUGAAUUUUUCUUGCAUUAGUUAGAUUGCAAAAAGAUUUUAAAGAGUGGAAUAAUUAAUUAUUGCACCUAUUAGCAAUGUCUUUUUGUCUUUUUCUUUAAACUAUUCAUAAGGGAUAUUACUAUAGGAUGUAUUCAAUUAAUGAUGGACAAUUAUUAGAUCUUAGUGAGGUUUGCGGAUCCUAAGACAAACUACAUAUGUAUAAUCAUUUUUACUAGAAAAAUGCUAAAGUAUAUACAUCUUACAUCCAAGAAUUUAAAGAUUGGUAAACUCCUUUGAAUUUUAGUAAAAAUGGAGAGAAAUCGCGGCCGAUUGAGGUGGGAAUCGCGGCCGAUCGAAGGGGCGGCUGAGGAAGAUGAGUAAGAAGACGAAAAUGGCGAGGGGCAAAAUGGUCAUUUUACACACUGUAACUCCCCUGUGAACAUUUUUCAUUUUUCAUUUUUCAUUUUACAAGGGGGCAAAGUGUAGGUUUUUAAAUAUCAUGGGGGGAAAGUGAAAAAGCGGGUUAUUACAAGGGGCUUUUUUGUAAUUUAGCCAAAUAAUUAUAUGAAAUAUAGUAUUAUAAUAUGAAAAAAAAAUAAUUUAUGAGUUGAAUAUCUAAUUUUUUCAGUCUCACAUGUCUUUUCUUCCGCCUUCAAUCUCUAUAUUAUUCAUUUUCAUUUAUGCAGUCAAAAAUAAAUAAAUUAUAUAGAUAAAUAUUGUAUUAAACUAUCCAAUCAUAUAUAACUAAAAUUAAAAUUUUAUAUGAAUAAUAAUUUUUUACUUUAAAAUAUUCUGUAUAUUUUCAUCAAAGUCAUGACAAUUCAAUAGGCAAGAUAGGCAACGGCGGUAUAUGAUAUUACUUGCUAACUUAGAGGGCUUCCCGCUUGGCCACUUAGGGUGAGAGACAGAAAAAAGAAAGAGAGAAAUAUAUUGAAAUUUAGAGUUCGAAGAAAGAAAGAACGAAAGAAAUGAAAAAUAUUAAAUUUAGUAAAAUUUUGCUCUUUUAUUUGUCUAUUGGUGUUUGUUUUUAUGGCCAACAACAUCAGCCCAAUUUUAACUAAACUCAGAUUAUUCACUUCAGCCUAUAUAUAAUUAAAAAUAUAUAUAUAUAUAUAUAUUAUAUAUAUAUAUUAUAUAUAUAUAUAUAAUAUAUAUAUAUAUAUUAAAAGCAUAUAUUUCAAAUUUCGGUCUAUCGACAGACCCAUUUUUGGUGGGAAAAAAAAUUGAUUUCGCUUUUUUCCUUACGUAAAAUAAAUAAUAGAAUUAAACAAACUGUUAUUUCCCUCUUAUUUUUACAACAGAAAAAAAUUUAUUUUUCCAAAUUUUUUGCCAAUCGAAGAAUAUCUAUUGUGAAUUUUUAUUUAAUUCUUCUUAUCUCUAUAUGUAAUAUAAUAUUUAUAUACUAUCUAUCUAUAUCUAUAUAUCUAUACUAUUUAAACAUAAAUUAAAAUAAUUGCUACGUGCAUUUGCACGUACGCUCAACUAGUAUAUAUUUAUAUAUAUAUAUAAUAUAUAUAUAUUAUAUAUAAUAUAUUAUAUAUAUGAGUCACUACUAUGCUAUCGAUAGUACGGACGCUCGUGCUACAAGUGUUUUGAUGAUGCGGCUUCCAAAUCGACGAUACGGCUCCGUUAGACUUGAUCUACACUCGUUGAAAAGUUUGAAAACUAAUUUUAAAUUUUUUUUCGACAUCAAUUGACAGUGAUCAAAAGAUUCAAAAUUGACAAUUUUAAUGGCCGAUGUGUGUGUUGUGAGUUUAACGGUUAAACAAUUCAAAUGCGAUAAAAAUUUUAUUAGAAAAAUUCUUUUCACUAUUUAGAGUAAGAUCAGUAUAUCUGAUCUUGAAUUUAAAUAUUUUGUCAUCAUUUUUUAUGAGAUUUUAUUUUCAGCCGUUCAAUUUUAGACUACUUGUUUGAUAGGUAAAUGAUAUCGAAAAAUUAUGAAUUAGUUCUAAAUACUUUCAUAGUGUAGAUCAACCUCUAACAGAGCCGAUCGUCGAUUUGAAGCCGCAUCAUUGAAAACAACUUGGUAGCACGGAGGCGCCCGUGCUACCGAUAGUAUAGUAGCCUAGCUCUAUAUAUAUAUAUAUAUAUAUAUAUAAUAAGUGUAGAACUGCUAUGCUAUCGAAUAAUAGAGGAUUUGAUAUUUUUUGAAUUUUUGACCCUUUGAUUAAAAAUGUAUGGUUGGGAUGAUUGCGGUCUCCCUAGGAUUUAAAUAAUACUUUUAGGAUUGAGUGGUCCCUACAAGGUAAAAAUAAUAUUAAUCAAAGAUAAGACGAUUUAAGGAUUGAUCUAAGAUAUCAAAAAAUCGAAACACCGAAAUAAUAAUUUUUUACUUAAAAAUAUUCUGUAAAUAUUUUAUCUCUAAGCCAUCAUUCAAAUAGCAAGAGUAGGCAACGGCGGGUAAAAAUAUGAAAUAUUAUUGCUAUGACUAGAGGGCUCGCUUGGCCCACUUAGGAGUGAUGAGACGAGGAAAUCAAAGAUAGAGGAAUAGUAAAUUGCAAAUUUUAAAGAGUUCGAAAAGAAAGAAGAAAACGAAAAAAUGAAAAAAUCAUAAUUUUAGUAAUAAAUUUUGCCUCUUUUUAAUUUGUCUAAUUGGGUUUUGUUUUUUAUGGGCCAACAAACAUUAGAAAUUUUAAACUAAAACUCAAAAUUUAUUCACUCGCCUACUUAAUAAAUAUAUAAAUAUUAUUAUCAUAUAUUAAUAUAUAUUUAAUAUAUAUAAUAUAGUAUAUAUAUUAAAAGCAUUUUUAAAUUUCGUCUAAUAAUCGACUCAAGCGCAGUUUUUUGGUGGAUCAAAAAAAUUGAAAUUUUGCUUUCCUUAGUAAAAUUAAAAAUAAAUAGAAUUAAAACAAACUGUUAAUAUCUCUUUUAUUUUUAAAACAGAAGAAAUAACAUUUAUGUUUUUAUCAAUUGUUUUGCCCAAUGAGAGAAUAUUUAUUGUGAAUUUUUAUUUAAAUAUUCUUCUUUAUCUGGUAUAAUGUAAUAAGAUAAUAUUUUAUAUAAACUAACAUAUAUCUUAUUAAUUUAUAUAUACUAUUUUAAAAUAUUAAAAAUAAUUGCUACCGUUGGCAAAUUGCAACGUAACGUCAGCUAAGUAUAAUAAUAUAUUAUAUAAAUAUAUAUAAUAUAAUAAUAUAUAUAUUAGAAGGGUCCAGCUUACUUAAUGCUCUCCGAUAGUGAGCGGAAGCGGCUCGGUGGCUACCAGUUUUUGGUGUUUCGAUGAUGAUGGCGGCGUUCCAAAAUGAAAGACCGCUCGUUUAAGACUUGGAAUUACACUUGUUGAAAAGUAUUUGAAACUAAUUUUUUUAAAUUUUUUUCGUAAUCAAUUUUUGAAACUAGUGAAUUCAAAAAAUCUCAAAAAAUGAAAUUUUAAUGGCCGAUGUGGUGUGGUUUGUUGGAGUUCACGGUGUAAUAAACAAUUUCAAAUGGAUGAAAAUUUUAUAGAAAUCUGUUCACUAUUAGAGUAAAGAAUCAGUAUAUCUGAGGCCUUAGAAUUUAAAUAGUGUUUUGUCAUCAAUUUUUUAUAGAUUUUUAUUUUUUUUCAACAGCCGUUUCAAAUUUUUUAAGACUUAAUUGUUUUGAUAGGUCUAAAAUGGAAUAUGAAAAAUUAAUGAAAUUAUAGUUCUAAAUAACUUUCAAUAGUGGUAGAUCAACUCUAACAAAAAGCACGAUCGUCGAUUUGGAAGCGGCAUACAUUGAUAAAAUACGACUUGGUAGCAGCGGAGCGCCCCCGUGCUACGAUAGUGAAAAAUACGUAAGAACUAGUCUAUAUAUAUUAAUAUAUAUUAAUAUAGUAGUGGUAAAGAACUUGGCUAUGCUAUCGGAAAAUAUAAGAAAAUUUGAUAUUUUUUGAAAAUGUUUUAUGAACGGUUGAAUAAAAAAUAUUGUAUGGUUUUUGGGAAUGCUUGCGGUCUCCCCUGGAAUUAGAAAUAAAUACUUUUGGCAUUGAGUGUCCUACAAGUAAAAAAUACGAUUAGAUCCAAAGAUAAGAAAAGAGUUUUAUAAAGGGAUUGUCUAGAAAUCAAGAAAAAUCGAAAAGCACCAGAUACUCUACCUUAGAUAGCAUAGUAGCUCUACUAUAUAUAUAUAUAUAUAUAUAUAUAUAUUCGAGCUUUUCAAGCUUUUCGAGCCUAAUUCGAACGAGCCAAGUAAGACUCAAGCUCGGCUUGAAAUGAAUUUCGAGCCUUUUUUUUUGCUCAAGCUCGGCUCAUUUAAACGCGAGUCGAACGCGAGCUGGCUCGCUCAUUUGCCAUCCCUAAAUGUGAUGGUGGGCAUUUUUGAUAUAUUUUAUUAAUUUAUAGUGGCAAAAGUAAUAUUGAUAAUUUUGAAAGAGCAUCUAUGAUAUUUUAAUUAUAACUUUUGACGAGUACAUAUUUGAAAUUGCUUUAAUUUUUUACACUACAAUAAAAUUAGGUUAUAGGAAUACAUUUUUGGGACACUUUUAUAUAAGUGUCCCAUUUGUGCCAAAAUUUUUUUAAGGCUAAAUUACAAAAACCCUCCUGUAAUAACCUGCUUUUUCACUUUCCCCCCUAAGAUUUAAAAACCUAUACUUUGCUCUCUUGUAAAAUGAAAAAUAUUCACAGGGGGGUUACGGUGUGUAAAAUGACCAUUUUGCCCAUCGCCAUUUUCGUCUUCUUCCUCAUCUUCCUCAGCCAUCCCUUCGAUCGGCUGCGAUUCUCACCUCAAUCGGCCGCGAUUUCUCUUCAUUUCCUUCUCCACCUGCUCCCCUUCUCCUCCUACACCCUCGCCGCCCCUCGAUUUCGACGAUAAUAGGGAGGAAAUCGAGGUGGGUGUUGAUGGAGAGGUAGGCAAGGACAACGAGGGCGAAGGCGAGGCGGCGGAGGAGGGCGAAGGGGAUCUGGGCGAGGGAGAGGUACUGGAGGACGGCGAGGCGGCGGCGAGGCGGUGAGCCGGAAGGAGGCGAAGCAAUAAGGAAGAGGGCGGAGGGGUAUUUUCGGCAUAAAAAAAUAUUUUAUAACGGAACCCUAACGGUAAGGGGUGAAGUGCACAUUUUUUAUUUUAUAAGGGGGCAAAGUGUAGGUUUUUAAAUGUCAGGAGGGAAAGUGGAAAAGCGGGUUAUUACAGGGGGAUUUUCUGUAAUUUAGCCUUUUUUAAAAAAUCUAUUAAGGUCUAAAUAUAAAGCCCAAUCCAAUUAAAAAUAAAAAGUUUCUCUACUCAACCAAUCACAGCCAGCCUACUCGGUCCGAUUACAAAUAAAAAAAAGGAAGAAAAAAAAAAGAAAAAUUGAUCACCAUCUCUCCUUCUCCUUCUCUGUCGCCGCAGCUAACGAGGUAGUGUUCCGGCGGCUGGAAUUCAGCCGCGAGGAUCUCGCAAGGACCGUAGAGGGCUACGAUCGCCACGUAUCCCUCGCCACAGGUCGCUGGAGUAGUGGGUACCAAAUAUCAAGGCGACCCUACCUAUAGCGACUCCACAUAUAGCAAUACUUUUAAAAAGUGUCGGUAAUUUAGUCAGCGGCACUUUUUUUGACGUGUACCGAUAUUUAAAAGUAUCACUAUACAUAAUUUUUAUUGUAGUGUUAGCAUGAAGCUUUUAUCACUGUUUUCACAGUUAGUAGUCUAGGAGAUUUUUUUUUCUUUGAGAAACAAAUAGUAUAUUAUCUGCUUCAAUCAUAAAAAAAUGAUUUAGUUUACGAGCGUGAGAUAACCGGGCCUCGAAAAGAAAAUAAAAUAACUAAAAUAAAAUAAAAUAAAAUAAAGAUUAAGAUGGUUGGUUAGCCUUCCCUAGACUACCAGUAGUUUAGAAGACUAGUACAUUUAUCACUGACGCUUUCAUUGAACAGUUCCAUUCAGCAUCUGUCCAAAAAUGAAAAAUCAGAUCUAAUCAAACAUCCCCAAGAACAUGGCAACUUUGUUAGGGAGAAUUUAAUACGGGUACCACUGUAGCUUUCUUUAACCAGCUCAACUCAGCAUUUGUCCAAAAAUCGCAUCUAAUCAACAUUCCCGAGGAAUUGGGCAAGUCCACACUUAUUUACUCGAUCAUGUAAUAUUUAUCUAUGAUUUAGACAUGGUAUAAAAUAUCAAUGUAUUGAAGUUGACAUCUAACAAUAAUAAUAAAUAAUAAUAGUAAUAAUCCUUUUUUAUGUAUAUAUACUUCGUAUAGGAUGUUGAUGUUUGCAUUAAAAUGCGUAUCAAAGUAUCCUUUGUGCAAGGGGUUCGGAAUAUCAUUAUCAAAAACGACAGAGCAACUGCUGAUGUAAUUCAAUUCAAACUUCUUCGGGGGCUACGUCCAGGUGAAAAUUUUUAUUUUAAUGAUUAUUUUUUUUAGCUCGUUUUUUCCUUUGUUUGCUCACGCGCUUCCGACCUUGAUUUUUCUAUUUUGGUUAUGUAGGUGUUGAAUAUAUAAAUUAAAAUCAUCAUUUUUUGACAGUUUGAAUUUUGAGAAAAAAAUAAAUUUUUAUACAAUUUCAUAUGGUAUAAAACUAAAAAAAUUCUUUGUUCGAAUUUUGUCAAACUGUUAACAUUAUUUAGUUUCUUCCUAUUUAAUUCAGGUCCAUAUUUUGGACUUGUUAAAAGUUUCGAGUACAAAUAUAAUGAGAGAAAGUAUUGAAAAUAUAAAUUAGGAAUAUCAUUCUUUAAUACUUUUAAAAGCCGUCUCAUAUAUUUAAUAAUAAAUUUGGAGAAUUUUUUUUGUGUCUUUUUUUAUUUAUUUAGGUUUAGGGACUUUUCUUGUUAUCUUCCUCGAUUUGUUUUGUUUGGGAGAUUUUGGGAGAUUGUUUCGUUGUUGAUGUCCUCAGCAUUUUGAGGCGGUGCUUUAUGUUCCUCCAAAAUUAUGUCGAAGUAAUCAAACUCCGAUAUUUAUUUCCCCUAGAGAAAGGUCGUCAACAUAAACAGCUAGAUAAAAUGCCUUUUGUCCACAACCGUUGUUAAAAGUUCACAGGUUAACUAUAAUAGUUAUUUUCGAUAGUGGAACAUUCGAUUCGGCGGUCGAAUUUACUUACCGUAAUUAACAGUAUUAAAAUUAUCUAAAAAUUAAAAUUUAUAAUUUUUUUUAACUUUAUGUUUCUUCAAAUUUAUAUGUUGGCGGCUUAAAAGAGCCAGUAUUUUGUCCUACGACGGAAAGCUAGAUAGGCUAGGUCUAAUCUCAUUCGAAAUGGCAGGAGGUUGCGUUGGAGCGAGUUAUGUUCGAAAUGGCAGGAUGCUGAUUGGGUCAAAUUACAAUUGAAACUCGUAUGCGCUGUAUUUAUAUGUUUUGAGUAAAUUGAUUGUAUUUUUCUAAUAGUUCGAGCUUUGGGAAUUAACAUAUAGCAUUAGACUACAAUACUUUCGAAAGUACGUAGACAUAUAUAUUUAUAAGUUAUUUUGGAUAAUUGGACAUUCGAUUCGAUGAUCGGUUUUAUUAGAUAAAAUCUGCAAUGUUAAAACUAUCGAAAAGCUAAAUUUUAUAAUUUUUAACUUUAUUUGACUAGUAAACGUAUAGACUUAAGCUACUAGAUUGAACGAGAAUUACUAAAUAUGUCGUAUUCAUAAACACGUGUGGAUCGAUCUGAAUUGAGUCGAAACUCUACUGAUGCGCACCUAUUAAUUGAACGGCAAAAGACUCGGCCCAAAUUUUUUAUCUGUAAAAAUAAAAUAAAAUAAAAUAAGGAAAACAAAAAAUUCUUUGAUACUGCUGAUAACAACCGCGAACGAUAGGAACUGGGGAUUGACUAAAGAUGGGGGAACUCGAGAUUUUCUUUUUCUUUCUUGGGUCGAGCUUAGCCGGACCACAACCGAAGUAGAUGCAGUGACGAUGAUGCUUUUUUCGUUUUUUUAAUUGAGAUAAAACGAUGCAAAUUGACAUAGCACCACUGCAAUUACUCUGGGCUAUUUAUUAUUAUGCUAAAAUAGGUUUAACAUUCUGUUCCGUAAUAAUAGAUUUAGAAGAUUAAUAAGUUAAGUUGGGUGAGCCUAAUAAAUUGAGCGGAGGUGCGGUCUACAAAAGAUCUAAUGGCAAUAGACUCAACAAUAGAUCUAACGUUCGGAUGAAUUAAGUCAAGUUGAAGCUCGCGAGCGCUGUGGCUGAGCCCUUAAGUGCGAUGGAUGCGCCUUUCCUAUCAGCAUGUGCUUUUAGAAUAGUUGGUUAGUAUUUACGAUAUGACAAGUGGUAUAAGAGCUAGUGGCGCGGGUUCGAUUCCCACAUGCUGUAUUAACGAUGCAUAUGACUAAUAAGUUGAAUUGGGUAAGCCUAAUAAGUUGAGUGAUGUACAAUCCAUAGGAGACCUAACAGCUAGAGGCUCAACAAUAGACCCAACGCUCGGAUGGGUUGAAUCAGGUUGAAAUCCGCGAGCGUUAUAGCUGAACCCUUAAGUGUAACCCUUAAGUGCAACGAGUACGUCCUAGAACGUAUUUUUAGAAUAGUUGGUUAGCAAUCUACAGUUACCACUCGGAUAAAACUCGAACGAAAGUUGAUCGGAAAAAAUGGGGUACGGCUUCAACAAUGUGCGUUUCAUAUUUUUAAUUAGGAAAAAAAAUAAUUUUUUGAACAAUUACUUUUUUUUGUUUAAAGUAGGGUAUUUUUGGUAAAUUCCGCGUGAUGCCAAAUUAAAAAGAUAAAAUCAAAACAGGUCGAAGCUAGUUUCCUGUUUCCCUGCGUAGCACUGAAACCCAGAUGUUUCAUUUUAACUCUAAUUUAGAAUUUUUAAUGGUUUAUAUUAUUAUUUGCAUAUAGAGCUUUUUGUUUUGUCAGAAUUGGCUUUAAAUAAAAAUGAAUACUACCAAUAAAAAUGGACUUAAACUUACCAAAUUAUAUGCAUGUAUUGCGUCCUCGUCUCACUUGGACUACGUUUGUGGAAUAGAAGGUGUAUGCGCAAGAAUAAUUCCGUCACUUAACAUGAAUUUUGUCAUAUUUGAUUAUAUCUAAUGUUUGUUAUAUACAUUUCUCAUCCAAAAUUUAUUUUUAAAAAGCUUUACAUCCGAAAUUCCUAACAUCUGCUAUUAGUAAUGCAUAUCAUUGGACAGUUAUUUGUUGACGAUCUUCUAUUUAACUCCAUUUUCCUUCUAAUCAAUGGAUUUUGGAUCGUUUCAUCGUAUUAAAUUAGUAUGUGAUAAUUUUUACACCACAAAUGUUUAAACCAUCAUUGUAGAUAUUGUAUUAAAAGUUUUAUUUGUGUAAUUCUUUAAAUAUUAUCCUUGUAUAUUAUUAAAGUGUUAAUAUUUUUUGAGAAAUAAUUAAAGUGUUAAUAUAGGAAUUAAUACUUUGCAUUAUUAAUACAAGCACUCUAAACGUUAUGUAUGGUAAGCAUUUCACUUCUUGUAUUAGCCGCAUUCAGAUGAGAAUUAAGAGACUUUGAUGGAAAUUAAAGAAUAUCCAUACUAAAACAAUACUUAAUAAAAAUCAGGUAAGAUCAUAAAGUACCGUAACUCCAAAAGUGAAAAGUUAACCAAGACCCAUAAAUUUUUUUUCACCACAUAUCCAUUUAUUUAAUUUAUUCCCAAAAUUAUAGCUAUCACCAACUUAGUUCCACUUAAUUACUUCGUCUAUCGAUAAUUUGUAAAUAAAGAAAUACCGAGUUAUAAUUCUACAACUAUCCAAAACUCGUUUUCUUUAUAAUACUUUAUUUUAUCCUAGAUUUAGCAUUUCUUUUUCUUUAUCUUUUAAACUACGAUACGGAGCAUACAUGCACCGUUCAAAACAUACAUAUCUAGACAACAUCUUUUUUUGGAAGCAGCACUUGGUGAACCAACUUGUUGAAAUUUACGAAAGAGGGACCACCCUCCUGCGUCGCCUUCACCGCGAUCUCCUUCCACUCCAUGGCCCUCCUCUUCAUCUCCUUCCCCUUCUCACCUCCCAUGAUCUCUCUUAUCAACCCCUCCACCUCCUUCCGCUUCACGUCGUUGUCGAUCUCCAUCCCUAUACCCCACUCCGUGCUCACGUAUCUGCCGAACAUAAAUGAUUAAUUAAAAUCAAUUGAAGUUGGUUUUUUUACCAGUGAUUUAAGGUUUUAGAGUAAAACGGUUAUUUUGUAGUACCUGCAGUUGGUUUGCUGCUCUGCAAAGAAGGGCCAGCUCAGCAUCGGCACCCCACCGCACACGCUCUCCAGCGUGGAGUUCCACCCGCUGUGUGUGAGGAACGCGCCCACCGCGGGGUGGCGAAGCACUUCCUCCUGCGGGCACCAGCUCGCCAUGAGCCCCCUCUCCCUCGUCCCCGCUACAAACUCCGGCGGGAGCAGCGCGGCGUCGCCCUUAACAACGUCGGGCCUGAUGAUCCACAGAAACUCGUGCUCGCUAUUCGCGAGCCCCCACGCGAACUCUAUCAGUUGCUGGUUCGUCAUGACUGUUAUGCUACCGAAGUUCACGUAGACAACGGACCCCGGCCUUUUGUUUUCCAACCAUUUUAAGCAAGCGGACUCCUCCUUCCACAGGCUGGAGCCCACGGAGCUGAGUGGGCCAUGGGGGAUGUGGCGGGCGAGGAGGGGGAGGGGGCCGAUGGUGUACAUGGGUGGCAGGAUUGCCGCCAUGGCUUCGAGCACUGGGCGCUCGAAAUCGUCGAACGUGUUGAGGAGGACAGCGGACGCCAUGGCGGUGCGCUCUGCCUCGCGUAGGAGGAAGUUCGCCAUGAUGUCGUCGGCGUCCACCGUACGGAUGAAGCUGGGGAAGUCUCGUAGUCUCAUGUUCGUCGCUCCCGGUACCCCAUCGAUCGGUGUUUCGAGAUACCCAUCAGUUAGCUGACCUACAUCUGUUCACACAGAACCUGUCAAGAUCCAUUCAGGUAGCAGGAACAAACAUACUGAAAGCAGAAGCACAGUCAAACAGUUCUGAAAGCGUGCCGCACCUUUAAGCGGAAAGAUACCCUUCUCCAUGAGUUGCCUGUAGUGGCGAUAGCUGAUGUAGCCAAUGGCACUAGCAGUCCAAAAGAGGACGAUGGGGAUGCCGAGCUCCUUUGCGGCGUCCAGCGUGAAGCUCAUGACGGCAUCGGAGACGACGCAGGUUACCUUCGGGACGCCCGAUGACGGGUCGUUGAGCUCCGCGAGGAGUUUGCGGAAGUGGGGGAGGCAGUUGGUCAUGGUGGACCGGCAGAGGGAGGGGACGUCCUGCGUCUUAUCCUCAUCCGAGAAGGGGAGGCCGUCGGGUAUGGUGGCGAAUCGGAAGUCGGGGAGGCCAUCGAGAGCGGCCGGGCCCUGUGACCGGAGAAGGCGGCGGUGGUUGUACUCGGUGUUGACGAAGGUGAUGUGGAAUCCAUGGAGGGAGUGGAGGAGCUUAGCCACCUUCAACACGGGCGUCACGUGGCCCUGCGCGGGGUAGGGGAUGCACACUGCAUGGGGCUUAUGAUCAGAUCCCACAGAACCCAUCUCUCUAUCUCUAACCGGGAUAUUUUUUGGAGGGGGUUGCUUUGUGUGGCUUAGAAAUUAAGGAGCUUCUUGGCUCUAUAUAUAUAGGGGGUGGGAUGUUAUAUAUCUUUCGUCGUGUUGGAGCUCCAAUUACAUAUUGGCCCCACGAUUGCAAGUAAGUUUGCAAUUAAUAGUAGCUAAAUGCCCAAGGAGACUUCGAGGAACCGCUCUUAACUUUGUGGAGGGCCGGCAGGAUAGCCCAGUUGCAUGUGCAUAUAUAUGUCGUGUAUAACACUUAUAUUAUAUUAUUUAUUUUAAAUUAGUUAUAUUUUUUAUUUUUAUAUUAUUCUACAAUAAAAAUAUUUUUUAAAAAAUAAUAAUGACGCAUGAAAAUUUUACGAUUGAUUGGAGGCAUCACAUCAGCAAUUUAACUUCUAAAUUUUUUUUUGACUCAGAGUCGUAAAUUGUAAAUUGAAUGUACAUGUACCAUUCAUGUAGCUUUCAAAUUUAUAUUCUUUGCACAACUUGUAGAAGAUGAAACAAUCAUAAGUUGGGGGACUAAUUCUUGUCUAUGGGGCGAAAUAAUAGUAAAGUGAUUAGUCCCGUCAAUUAACUCACUUAUUCCAAAGAGUAUUGCGUGCACCGAUGAUCACCAUGUUAGCAGGCAACCAUUGUACUACUUCCACAUAAUAAAUACAGUUUAAUUAAAAUUUAGAAGUAAAUCCGGAUAGUUCAGAAAUGAUUCAAGAUAGAAUUUGAUAUAUAUAUAUACACGCAUAAUAGCCAACACUUAAUGAGGAGGGCUACUGUACUAUUAGGAGCACGACAGUACUUGUACUCUUAAGUUUCUGACCAUCGAUCAAUUUUGAUGGGUUGUUAGGAUAAUAGGAAAAGAGUAAUUUGAAAAAAAAUUCAAAAAGAAGAGAAAUUCAGAUGCCCAAUUUUUUUUAAUUUUUCUUCUCUUUCUCAUCCUAGCCAUCCUUUAAAAUUAAUAGAUGGGUAGAAAUAUAAGAGCACAAGAGCUAUUGUAUUCCUUAAUUGUGUUCUAAAAUUAUGCUUAGUUUGGGAACUAAACUCUAGUAAAUGACUUUUGUUAUUUAAGAAAAUAAAAAAUAUUUUUAUAAGAUGGAAGUUAUAAAUUUACAUUUGAAUGUAUUCAAGAAUAUUCUAAAGAAUAUCCUUAAUAUAGUUGGGAUGAAAAAUCUAAAACAAUAUCUAUACAUUUUUAAAAAUACAAUAUUUUGUAUAGAAGAUUAUACAUAACAUACAUUAAAAAUUAAUGUAAUGUAAAUUUAAUAAUAUUAAUGAAAAAUCUUAUAAUAUAAAUUAUUCUCCAUAAAGUUAUUUUUACUAUUUUUUAUAUAAUACAUUAUAUAUAAUAUUUAAUAAAGAGUAAAAUAAUAUAAUAACAAUAUAUGUAAAACAACUUAAUAAAUAAAAUAAAAUAAUAUAUCACAUUUACUGUAAUUUAUAUUUUAUAAUAGUGGAUAAGUAAAGCUAUAUUAUAACAAAAUUAAUAUUUAUAUUAGUAAUUAUUUAUUUAUCCAUUUAUAUAAUAAAAAAUAAAGAGACUAACAAUUUUGUUACUAGUUCCAUAGAGAAUAACUUUUAACCAAUUUGUUCAAAGAUAAUUAGUUUUGAUGGGAACAACUAGUUUCUGCCUCUUUAGCUAGUAUUUGGGUACAAAGUUGGGAUUUUUUUUUGUUCCGGGGAUAUAAAAUAUAUUAACGAUUUUUUAUGCAUUAUAUUAUCAACUAUUUCAGAUAUUUUAUAAAAAUUGUGUUCAUGAGAAUUGAUUUGUACGGCGUUGUGCAAUAAUGCAAUAAUAACAAUGUUCAUCCUAUAUCCAAUUUUAUUAUAGUUGCAUAUAUAAUGGAACAUGAACGCUGGACCGCGAUGGCUAUGACGACGUAAGUGUUACAAGAAUUGAAGAGAACAAGAAGGAAAAGUGUGUCGGGGCGAAGACGCUUGCUGCGGCCGCAAGGGAGGGGGCACGACAAUGGACAAAGAUGCAGAGCAUGAAAAAAAAAAAAAUAAUAAAACUAAAAAAUAAUAUAGCAUCUAAGAUUCGACAUAUCUCAAUAUAUGAGAUAUAAUAGAUCGAGUUAAAUCUUGUAGUCCGAUUAUAGCAUAUUGGGUGGUGAUUAAGUCCAAUAAAUUAAAAGUAGAGUAAGAAUAAUUCUUUAAAUUGAUGACUCCCUAGGGAGAAAAAAUAAAAGUUUGACAUAUUGUUGGGCGAUAGUUAUGUCCAAAAAGUUAAUAAAGGAGAUGUGAGAUAUAAUGAUGUAGUUGGUUGACUAAAAAAGUUGAAAAAGAGAUAAAAUAUAAUAAAAUUAAAUCUCUUAACUUAGCUAUCGUACUUUAUCUUCAUGUGCUCUUUUCUUUUAUCUUUCUUAGAUUCUACGGCACCUUUGUCACCAUCGUCGCCGACGGCCAUGCCCUCUGCCACAGCUUCACCUUUGUGAUUUGCAUAUCUGAGUCCGUGUUAUUAUCGCUGGAGUUAACAGAGAUGUGAAAAAGGUAAAAGAGAAGCACAGCGUACGUCAACGUGGGAGUAGCAGGUGGGGAGGAGGAAGAGGGAUAAAAAGAGGUUGGACAAACAGAAUAAGAUAGAAAAGGAGGAUGAAUGGGGGAGAAAGACGAGCAACUAAGAGAAAGGAGAGAAAAAUACUAAUAAUAAUAAUUUAGUUAGUUUACUAAAAAUUUAAAUUUAAUAUAUAAAAUUUUAAAAAAUAAUAUAUUUUAAUAAAAAUAUAAAAUUAAUAAAAUUUUUAUGUAAAUUACUAUGACAUUGCACAUGGCACCUUACAAAACUGCAUAUCUAGACAACAUCUUUCUUAGAAAGCAGCACUUGGCUAACCAACUUGUCGAAAUUUGCAAAAGAGGGACCACCCUCCUGCGUCGCCUUCGCCGCCAUGUCCUUCCACUCCAUGGCCCUCCUCUUCAUCUCCUUCCCCUUCUCCCCUCCCAUGAUUUCUCUUAUCAACCCCUCCACCUCCUUUCUCUUCACAUCACCAUCAAUCUCCAUCCCGAUCCCCCACUCUGCGCAUGUGUACCUGCCGAACACGAAAGAUUAAUUAAAAUCAAUUUAUAUGAAUUUUUUAAAACAUUUAAAUUUUUAGAGUAAUACGAUUGUUUUGCAGUACCUGCAGUUGGUUUGCUGCUCUGCAAAGAAGGGCCAGCAUAGCAUCGGCACGCCACCGCACACGCUCUCCAGCGUGGAGUUCCACCCGCUGUGCGUCAGGAACGCGCCCACCGCGGGGUGGCAAAGCACUUCCUCCUGCGGGCACCAGUUCGCCAUGAGCCCCCUCUCCUUCGUCCCCUCUACAAACUCCGGCGGGAGCACCGCGGCGUCGCCCUUAACAAGGUCGGGUCUGAUGAUCCACAGAAACUCGUACUCGCUAUUCGCGAGCCCCCACGCGAACUCUAUCAGUUGCUGGUUCGUCAUGACCGUUAUGCUACCGAAAUUCACGUAGACAACGGACCCGGGCCUUUUGUUUUCCAACCAUUGUAAGCAAGCGGGCUCCUCCUUCCACAGGUUGGAGCCCACGGAGCUGAGUGGGCCGUGGGGGAUGCGUCGGGCGAGGAGGGAGAGGGGGCCGAUGGUGUAGAUGGGCGGCACGAUAGCCGCCAUGGCUUCGAGCGCCGGGCGCUCGAAAUCGUCGAACGUGUUGAGGAGGACAGCAGACGCCAUGGGGGUGCGCUCCGUCUCGUGCAGGACGAAGUGCACCAUGAACUCGUCGGGGUCCAGCGUUCGAAUGAAGCUCGGGAAGUCUCGUAGUCUCAUGUUCGGCGCUCCCGGUACCCAAUCGAUCGGUGUUUCGAGAUACCCAUCAGUUAGCUGACCCACAUCUGCUCAAAAAAAAAAAAGAAAAAAAAAGAAAAAAAAAAAGAAAGAAAGAACUGUCAAUAUCUAUUCACUUACUAAAGCAGAAGAAGCAGAACCAAACAGGUCUGAAAUUAAGCGUGCUGUACCUUUAAGCGGAACGAUACCCUUCUCCAUGAGGUGCCUGUAGUGGCGAUAGCUGAUAUAGCCAAUGGCACUAGCAGUCCAAAAGACGACGUCGGGGAUGCCGAGCUCCUUCGCGGCGUCCAGCGUGAAGCUCAUGACAGCGUCGGAGACGACGCAGGUCACCUUCGGGCGGCCGGACAACGGGUCGUUGAGCUCCGCGAGGAGUUUGCGGAAGUGGGGGAGGCAGGUGGUCAUGGUGGACCGGCAGAGGGAGGGGAUAUCCUGCGUGCUGUCGUCGUCGGAGGGGGGGAGGCCGUCGGGGAUGGUGGCGAAUCGGAACUCGGGAAGGCCGUCGAGGGCUGCGGUGCCCUGCGUGCGAAGGAGGCGGCGGUGGUUGUAGUCGGUGUUGACGAAGGUGAUGUGGAAUCCAUGGAGGGAGUGGAGGAGCUUGGCCACCUUCAACAUGGGCGUUAUGUGGCCCUGCGCCGGGUAGGGGAUGCACACUGCAUGGGGCUUGUGAUCAUCAGAUCCCAUAGAACCCAUCUCCCUAUCUCUAAUCGGGAUUUUAAUUCCUUUUUUUUCUUUUUUUUUUUGGUGGGGAGGGUGUUGCUUUGUGUAGCUUAGAAGGGAUCGAGCUUCGUGGCUCUUUAUAUAGGGGGUGGGAUGAUAUAUCUUACAUCAUCUUGGAGAUCAAAUUCAAUAUGGCCUCAUAAGUCGCAGUCAAUAAUCUGAUGAAAGCUGCAGCCGCAGUAGGAGAUUGCUAUAUGUUCCAGCCGUAUUUUAAUCAUAUCCUUCUGAAAAGUUAUAAAUAAAGAAGUUGUGUGGCCAUUUUUUUUGAACAGAAACUUUCAGCAACUACAAUUUUUGGUGAGCCACGGAUUCCGGUUGCGUAUGCAUAUCGACCCCAGGCCGCCAACUGUACAAUUGAUUUCAUCCGAACAUUUAGGCAGCGUUUGAUUGCCGAAUAAAGUGACAAUAAAUCAAUUUAUUUUUUUAAUUCAUUCAAAUAUAUAGGUUGUAAUUUGUUCAGUAUAAAGAGAGGACUAAGUCCUUGUUCCUUUCUAUAUAUUUAAAUAUUAAUUUUUUCUUUUGAAAAUUAUAAGUUUUAAUAAUUAAAAUUAUGGAAAAUAAGAGUGGAACAAUUGUUCCACCCUUGCCUUGAAAUGGGAACACGCUUUGUUAAAAUUUAAAUCUAAUUUUAAUUUUUAUAUUAAUUUAUUAAUUAAUUUAAUUAAUAUAUUUAGGUCAUUAUCUAUUGCUUAAAUAGUUAAAUAAUAAAUUUAUUUAUUUAUUAUUUAUGAUUAAUUAGCUCAUUAAAAAUUAAUCAUUUAAUGUGCUCAUCUAAUAACUAAUAAUUAUAUUGGUCAAUUAAUUAAAUUAAUUUCUUAAUAAAUCAUCUAAAUAAUGAAAUAAUUUACUAAUUAAUUAAGAAAUUAAGUUAUAUUUUAUAAUUAAAUAAAUAAUUAAUUAGUUAAUAUAUUGUUAUAUAAUAUUUAUAGUUAAUAAAUUUUAAUUUAUUAUAUUAUUUUAAUUAAUAUUUGGUAUUAAUCAAUUAGACAAAAUAUUAUUAAUUUAAAAUUAUAAUAAUUAUUAUUUUUACUACUCUAAUCUAACUAUCCAAAUACUUUUUAUCUUAUUCACAAACAACUUAAUUUUUAUCCAAACAAAAAUUUACCCUAAUUCUUAUUUAUACUUGAAUUUAUACCUAUUUCUGAAAUAAGUAUUUUUUACUUAUAUUAAACCAAACGAAGCCUUACAAUAUAUUCAUUUCAUCAUUAGCAAUUAAAAACAAAAUAAUCGUAGGUGAGAACAAGCCUCCCUUAUAAGUUAAAAAAGUAAUGAAGUGAUUAGUCCUGUAAACUAACUCGCUUAUUCCGUGCAUGUACUUAGUCCAACCACAUAGUUAAUACGAUUUGAGAAAAAUUCCAUUAUUUUUUUUCCUUUGUGGCUGUGAUUUUUCAUUUUAAAAAACAUUAUAAUUAAUGCACGCCACAUGCCAUUCCUGGGUAAAACGGGAUAAUGUAUUUUAUGUAAUGGUCAAAUAUGCCAGAAGAGAUAUCGUCCAAAAAAUAUUAUCAUUUUAAAAUUGAAGCGUAUGAUCCAAUCAAUUAUUUAAUGGAGAUAACGUCGAACUACCAUAGAUAUUUUUUCUUCCUAUCUUAAUUAUCUUCUGGCCUGAAUAAAUGUGUACGCAAAAAAAAUCUACACCUUUGUUCUAAACAUAUAAUAAAUUUUAUCAGUCAAAAGAUAGGAGAGUAGUCUCAACUGCUGGAUUUUAUUUUUUGUCGACCGUUGGAUCAACACGACUAGUUUAGAUUAAUUUUAUCUCUCUGACGAACCACAUAAUAUACAAUCUGGAGAAAAUUCUAUUUAACAAUAGUACAUUUCAUAUACGUUAUUUGUCUCUACAUUGAAUUUCGAGGUGGAACAAUAAAAAAAAAUUCUGUAUUUUGAGGUAUCUCAAUUGAUUUUAGUAAUGCUGCAGAUCUUUUGAGAUGCUACAAUUAUGAUUUAUCAAUAUAUCGAUUUAUAUUUUGUGGCUAAUAUUUUUUGACUGAUUUGGAGUAUGUUGAACUGUAUUUUUUUUAUUUAAAAAUAUAGAAAAAUUAUAUUCGUUUUAACCGGAGAAGUGCUCAUAGUAUCUUUAUUAUAUUUUUUGUUUCAUGAUGUUUGUUUGAAUAAAUUUGCAUAAGAAAUCAUCCAUGUUUUAAUUUCAAAAAACAAUAAGCAUAUAGUCAAAAUAUUAAGAUAUUAUAUUUAUUUGUUAGUAUGUAAAUAAAUAUCUAGUAGUUUGCUUUGCCGACGCAUGAGAAAAGUAGGCGGAGUACUUGAGCUUAAACAUAAAAGUGUACCUCAUUUUUUUUCAAUAAAAGUGUACUAAAGAGGGUAAGACAUUGACACGAGUACAAAAACAAAACUGUAUAUUUUAAACAACUUAAGUUCACACGUGUGGACACUCAAAAGAAUCCGUUUCGAAUCCGGAAUGAAUAUCACUUGGUCGACACAAAAUUCAACUUUACACUCCCAAAAUAUAUAUGAAUAUAGAUAAUUUAAAAAAGACACAUUCUCGACCUAAAACAAGAGGAACACAAACGUGUCCUUAAGAAGUUGACAAAAACAAAAGCAAAUGCCUAUGUUUCUCCCACCUAAACCUAAUUUGAUAAUAUUGACCGUUCCCGGCACAAGUAACAAAGAGUUUAAUAAUUGAUACUCGAGAUUCCAAAUUUAAAUUCAAAUUGAUUCACACUUCUAGUUAAAUUAUUUCUAACAGAAAUAAACGAAUCAGCUAGCAUAUUAUCUUUCUCUCUCAGAAAUAAAAAGACUAGUUUUAUUUUAUUAUAUAAUGGUUAAGAAAAUCGUUUAAAUAUUUAGAAAGACUUAAAAUAUUUUAAAAGUGAUUCUAAUUUUUUUUAUACUAUAAAAUUACAAGAGCAACCAGAGAUGGAAAAGCAUUUAUAGGCCUAAUUUGAUACGUAAUUCAAAGCACCACUUAUGUGCACUUUAUUAUAGGAUGCAAAUAUGAUAUCUCAUGAUCCAACAGUCUAAAAAUUUUUUUAAAAAAAUUUACUAUUAAAAAGAUUAACAUGAUAAGUAAACAUAUUUUAUUAAUCUUUUAAAGAUAAGCGUGUAAGAUUUAUAUCUGGAGGUACAUAAAGUAUUGCUUAGGAGCAGGACUGUUGUGCUCUUAGGAGCACGGCGGCCUCCAUACUACUGAGUCGUUUUCGAUGAUAAAUUUUCAAAUAGAUGAUUAGUUUCGCUAGACUUGAUCUAGCGUAGUUGAAGUUUCUAGAAAAUAUUUUUUGCGAUUUUUCGAUAUCAUUUACCUAGCAAUCGAAAAUAUUUAACAUCAACGGCUGAAAAUAAAAAUCCUAUAAAAGAUGGUGAUAUAGCAUUAAAAUUUUCAAUCAGAGAUAUUGAUCUUGUUGUAAAUAGUAUAAAAAAAUUUCUAUCAAAAUUUUAUUUGAUUUGAAUACUUCUAUACAGUUAAACUUGCAAACGAUAAACAUCAACCAUUAAAAUUUUUUGAUCGCUAGGUAAAUAAUAUUAUAAAAUUGUAAAAAUUAUUUUAUAGAAAUUUUAAAUACGCUAGAUCAAGUCUAACGAAGUCAAUCAUCGAUUCGAAAAUUUCAUCAUCAAAAAUGAUUCCGGAAUACGGAGGCUUUCGUGCUCCUAAGAGCACAGCAGUCCGGCUCCAUUGCUUAGUAUUUAAUCACAUGGCAAUCGACUUGUCAAGCCUAUAAUAAAAAAUUAUAAAGAGAGAGCCAGCAAGUUGGAGAACUUGAAAGUAGUGUCGGUCUGUGGGAAUCGUUUCACAAAACCGAAUUGGUAGUUUGACAUAGAACAGAGCAACAAGUAGUAUAAGUAAUCAAAACUUUCCACAACCAAUGUAGCCUAUAUAAUUAAAAAGGGAUAGUUAUAUAUAUACCUCUUAAAAUCUUUAAAAUAUCUUAUAUAUUUUUAUAUUUUUUAUUCUAAAUAUAUCCCUUAUAUAUUUUUUCUGUUACUAAAAAAUAUUUCUGCUAUUAGUGCUCGUUAAGUUAUCUUAGUUAAACCUGAGUUAAAUUUUUACUAUAGUUAAAAAAUAAUUAAAAAAAAAAUUUGUCCCUUAUGUAAGGCAAACAAGAAAAGUUGAUGACCGCAAAAAAUUAAUAUAUUUGAAAGGAAAAAAAGAAUUGAGCUAGAAUACUUUUAGAAGCACCAACUCCUUGGUGCUUCUAAGUUUAUAGCUCUUGGAUCUACUCUUUAAUUACUAAUAGUCUUUGAAUCAAACACUAUUUCACCUACCACCACCUACCACCAUCAUCUCAACCUUACAUCUCUCCAUCCAAUGGUUAAAAACUCAAAAGCGCCACUCUUUUAAUGCUUUUGAGAGUAUUCUAGCUCAACUCAGGAAAAAAUAUUCAAAAUACUUAUUUUGCUCCUAUUAAGGACAAAUAAAAAAAAUUUGGUAAUAGCAGAAUGCUAUAUUUGAAAAAAUAAAAUGAUAAUUUUACAGAAAUAACGACUGUUCCUAAUAAUUCACCAAUAAAAUUUAAUUAUAGAAAUACAUUUAAAAGACUUUAAAAUCUUAAAAUCGUAUUUUUAAUAUUAGUCUUUUAGAAAAAAUAAAUAAAUAAAAUAAUAAAAUUUUAGGACUAUAUAAGUAAUUGUCCUAAUUGAAAAUGUCUUAAAAAAAUAAGUUUUCAGCUGAAAUAAUAUUUAAUAUUUUUGUAAAUUUUUUUUUUCAAAUGAAGUAGGGGAAUAUCUCAUUCCCAAUGAAACAGGGAACGUGUCAUUCUGAUGAAAAAGACAAAAUAUAUGUCAAAUUAUUCAACAGAGACGGUUCACAAGAGAUCUAUCUAUCUAUCUCUCUCUUUCUAUAUAUGUAUAUAUAAAAAUAUUUUUAUUGAAGAUUUUUCAAACAGAUCCCUUUUAUAUCUCGUCUUUGCAGGAAAUUAAUGUCCAUUCUCACCUUGUUUAAUCAGAGACAACUAAAAAAAUAAUAAUAAUAAAAGAGAAUAUUUUAAUAUUUCUCAUUCUUGAAGUUAGAGUUGUGAUUUUUUUUUUUUAACCUUACUUUUCUUUUUAAAGUAGCACAGUAAAAAUAAAUACAAAAGAAAUAGCAGGACUCGGUUGUCAUUUUGGAGUAGUCUCUCUCUGAACCAAGAGGUCGAGCAUAGCAGGCAAGGAGAAAGACACAGCGACGAACUGAGCUUUGAUCCAACCAAGGAGAGGAGAGUCCACCAGGAUCUAAACCUUCCAAAAGAGGGGCUUCAAAGGCAUUAAAACCCAGCUUAUCGGGUCGGGUAGUUGGAAUAUCGGGGCCACCCGGUAAGCUUUGACAAUCAUAGGCCUCACAGGCAUGGCCGAGUCCACUUUCUCCCACUGAAAUAGGCCCAGAAAGCCCAAUAGUACGUUAUAUUGUUGCUUUUACAUUUCAGUCCACGUUUUAUGUAAUUUUACAAUUCAGUACCAUGCAAGAGGGAUGAGAACAUGAAGUAGAUGUAAAGAGCGAAAAAGGUAGAAUGAAAUAUUGAGAAACUUCUUCCCCUCAUUGUAUCCGCAUCCUCUUCUUUUCUCUCCUUUCCAUUCUUUCCUCUCUAAAUUCCCCUAAAUUCCUCAUAAUUGUGAAGCAUUGUAGGAUCCGACCCACCCUCACCAUCAUCCCCUCCGCCAUCCACGUCUCAGAGCGAUCUCAUCAUUGAUGGGUUGCAGCAAGUCCGGGAUAUUACAAUAUGAAGCCCUCAGUUCAAAUUUUACUAGAUUUUUAGUGCUUAAUUUCGUAUGUUUAAAUUAAGUUCAUAUUUUGUGCCUACAAAAAAAAAAAAAAAAGGUUUAAAAGUGAGGCACGUUUAGUCAAUUCUAUUACAGUGUUGUGCUAUUUAAUAAAAUAUUUUUAUAUAUUGCUGUCACGAGAACCACUGUAUUGAUUUUCUUUUUUUUUUUUUAUCGCACUCUUCGCGAUAAAAUCAAAAGCCAGCAACAAACUAAGACUUCUAAUAUUUGAGUUUACACUCUCAAUUGGCUUCUUAUUACAAUAGCACUAAAUUCUACAGUUUGGCAAAUAUUUGGAAAAUGCGACUGGAUGUAAAAUUAGAAGCAAGGCGAGAUAAGUACCAACUUUUUAUUUUUUUGAUUAAAACUAAAACGCUCUUUUAUAGAAGGAACGGAAAAUUAUAAUUAGAAUAUAUAAUUUGAGGAUGAAAAACUCAUAUUUACUUUGUGCACAACAGCCAAAAUUUCUCUAUUUACUAAAAGACCAUUCCAAUAAAACUAAUUAUCACAACAAGGUUGAAAGAGAAAAUUAAUAAGAUUCGUAACUAUAUAUAUAUAUAUAUAUAUAUAUAUAUAUAGAGUGAGGUAACUAUACUAUCGGAAGUACGGAGCAUUCUGAUAGUACCUAGAAAAUAAAUUUUAUUAUUUUUCGAUAUCAUUUGUCUAGUGAUCGAAUGGGCUCAAAAUCAACAAAUUUCAAUGGCUGUAGUGAGCCGUUUGCAAGUUUAACGGUGUAGAAAUAUCCGAAUCACGUGAAAUUUUGAUAGAAAAUUCUUUAUACUAUAUAAAACGAGAUCAAUAUCUUUGAUUUAAAAUUUUAAUGUCAUAUUAUUACAUUUUGUAAGAUUUUUAUUUUCAGCCGUUGAUUUUGAGCCCCUUCGAUCACUAGGCAAAUGAUAUCGAAAAAUCGCAAAAUUUAUUUUCUAGAUACUUCAAAUACUCUAGAUCAAGUCUAACGGAGCCGAUCAUCGAUUUGAAAGUCCCAACAUCGAAAACAAAGUGGAAGCACGGAGCGCUCCGUGCUUCCGAAAGCACCCCAGACGCACUCUAUAUAUAUAUAUAUAUAUAUAUAUACCAGAGUCCGACUAUGGUGCAUUCGAAAAAUAAAGAAUUUGGCGCUUCAGACUUUUUUAACUCUUGGAUCAAUCAUUUCUAGCCUUUAGAUUAAUAUUAAUUUUCUAAGAGGACCACUAAACCCUAGAGACCAUUAUCAUUGUAAUCCUAUAAUUUUUUAUCCGAAGACUAAACAGUCGAAAGUAUCAACUCCUUUAUAUCACAAUAAAAUUUACAGCAUAUGUUUAUUUUUGUAUUCGUUUCGUUCAAGUGAAUAUCAUAGUUAGUUAAUUCGCGAAUAAUUCGCAAAUUAUUCGCGAAUUUUUGAGAAAACGAAUUUAACAGCCGUAUACGUAUUAUUCCCAAAAAUUUGAAAAAAAUCGCGUUUUUUUUGUCAAAAUACUUGUUCGCGAAUAAUUUGUGAUUCGCGAAUUAUUCAUCCGAAAAAAUCGGCCCUGUCGGCUUGCAGGUAGCGGGCUCGCCGACGGGUCGCGGGUCUCAUGGGUGGCCCAAAACAUUAAAAAAAAAAAAAAAAAAAAAAAAAAAGAGAAAGAAGAGCCGAAAAAGGGUUUUGCCCUAACCCUUCACCCCUGCCGCUCUGCCGCCGACCCCAGCCCCAUCCCUUUCCUUCCUCCUCUUCCCUUCCCUUCCUCCUCUUCCCUUCGAGCCAUCGGAAGCCCCCGCGUGGCCACAUCGAAGAUCGGGUUCUUCAUUCUUCAGAAAUCAGAACCCUCCUCGUCGCCUCUUCCUCUUCCGCUUCCGCUUCCGCUCUCCAAACGAUGGAUCAGUAAUCGGGUUGUUCUUUACAAGAAUUUUUAUGCUUUAGUUUCUCUCUCUCUUCUUUCCUUUAUUUCAUCUUCUCUUAAUUACUAACUGUAUGGUUUUGAUCAGUAACAUGACCAUGACUACAACAUGUAGCAUCAUUGUAAACAUGCAUUUGUUAAGAUUCAUUACUUCCUUUUUAUCUUUAAUCUCUACAGUAUACAUGAAUAUGCCCAGCAUACAAGAAUAAUCAGCAAAUAAGGCUUUAAGAAUUAAGUCCUCAAAAGGUUUGAUAUGCUCAGCAGGUUUGAAAGUCACAAGCAUAUGCAUUGAUUAAAAACCAAGGGAGAUCUAGCAAACUUAACAAAGGUACAUGGGUGUUAAUUGGCAAUACUGGGAAUUUCCGAUAAAUUUGGAGAAAUAGCAAUAUGGAGAUACAGAUUUGAGUUUGCUAUUUGCUUAAUUAUAGAUUUAUUUUGGAACAUAAUACAGUUUGCUAAUUUUUUACUUAAUUAACUUAAAUUUGUAGCUCUUUAUUCUUAUAUUCUUAAGAAUUAUAAGUAUUUGUACUAAUUGCAUAAAACUUGAGAAAAAAAAAAUUUAAUUUAAUAGUCGAAUUUUUGAUCCCGAAUUUUUAAUUAGUGAACGUAUAAUAUCCGUAUAAAUCAAGUAUCCGAAUAAUUGGCGAAUCCGUUUUUUAACCGUAUUUUUCAACGAAUUUAAAAAUUAAUAGACGAACUCUAUCCGAAUUAUACCCGUACCGAAUUUUUGCCGAAUCCGAAUUAACUAACUAUGGUGAAUAUAGAUAAAAAAAUCAAUGAUUCAACCCACUAGCAUUAAUAAUUAAUAAUUUACUUUUGUGUCCGAUUCUUUUUAGUGAAUAUAGAUAAAGAAUUAACGAUUUGUUUUACUAAAAUUGAUAAUAUUUUGGGCCCAAAUUGUCGGCCCAAAAUAUUUAAGUUCAAUAAUUAGUUAUAGUAUGUUCGUCACAUGUUAACCUCUUACACUUCUACUUUAUUCAAUGUGGGAUUAUUAGGAUUUUUCUAUUUUAAUUGCUGAUGUGCUCGUUGACUCAAUCUGCCAAAAAUUAUUAGAUAAUGUAAGAUAUAUUUCACAUUUCCAAGUGGUAAACCAACUUUAAUACCAAUGAUAACAAGUAAUUCUAUUAAAAUUAAUAACUGAACUUAAACAUAUUGAGUCAAUUAUUUGUGCCUGACAAAUUAUUACUUUUAGUAGGCUGAGCCAUUAAAAUUUAGUCUUUAACUUUUCACAUAUACGAUACUUUAUCAGUCAUUAUGCGUCAAAAAGCUGAUUUUGUUAAAAAAUAAUCACUCUAUCUCUUUUUCAAACAAAAGUUAUGAUAUGUCCGAUUAUUUUUUUUAAUAAUGAAGAGUACAUUAAGGAAAAUUGGAAAUUGCAUUGUAAUAUUAAUUGUAAUAAUUUAUAAAAAAGUUGAGUUAAAAAUUAUGAAUAUUAAAAUUAAAAACUAAAGUAACACACUUCUUAUAUUUGGAGGACCAAAACUAUAGUUUGAACGAUAAAAGAGAGUAAUACUGUUUGUACGUCCAAAUCCAAGAUUAGAUGAAAUUUUACAUCUUAUCUAUUACAGAGCUAUUAUUUUUUUGGUAGAAAUCUUAUCACACUUUUAUUUUUUAAAUAUCAUUAAUUUAAAAUUAUUGUAUAAAUUAUUUAAAACUAGGCUACUAUACUAUCGGUAGCACGGAGCGCUCCGUGCUACCAAGUUGUUUUCGAUGAUAGAGCUUCCAAAUUGACGAUCGGCACCGUUAGACUUAAUCUACAAUAUUAAAAAUAUUUAGUUAUAAUUUUUUGAUAUCAUUUACCUAUAUAUCAAACAAGUAGUCUAAAAUUGAAGGGCUGAAAAUAAAAAUCUCAUAAAAAAUAAUGAUAAAAGAUUUAAAUUCAAGAUCAGAUAUACUGAUCUUACUCUAAACAGUAAAAAGAAUUUUCUAUAAAAUUUUCAUCGCAUUUGGAUUGUUUUACACCGUUUAACUCGCAAACACACAACAUCGGCCAUUAAAAUUAUCAGUUUUGAGAUCUUUUGAUCACUAGUCAAAUGAAGUCGAAAAAAUCUAAAAUUUAGUUUUUAAAUGCUUUCAAUAGUGUAGAUCAAGUCUAACGGAGCCGAUCGUCAAUUUGGAAGCCGCAUCAUCGAAAACAACUUGGUAGUACGGAGCGCUCCGUGCUACCGAUAGCAUAGUAGCCGGACUCAAAUUAUUUGACCAAUAAAUAUAAAAUUUACACUUAAUUUUUAAAUAUUGUCUAAGAUGCAUGUGUGACGCAUCUUGCGAAUUGAGUUGCGAUGAGGUGGAGAGUUUUUGCUUGAUUUGCGCAAGCUAAGCUAGUGCGCAAAGCUCCAUUUGUCCCUCAUAAUAUACUAAUUAACAGGAGCUAGCUAGCACAUGGAUAUCGUCAGUUGCCACAGCUAGCCUACAGGUGUAGAGUUUGCAUUUGUAUCUGGGCACUACACAUGGCAAAGAAGACCAAAAAGAUUAAUUUAUUUGAAAGAUCUAUCAUAUUUGCCUUUUUUAUAAUAUUAUUAUUCAAUACUUAAAGAUUCGGCCGUUCAUAUUAACAAUAAGUAUAGAUCCCGUUUGAACAGGAUCGGUCUGAUCCCUAUUAUAUAAUUUGCUCUUGCAUUGAUGUGGUACGCAUUGACGUUGGAUCGAUAGGGAGAUAUUUAAGAAUUAAUAUUAUUUUGCCGAUUAAAUCACCUCUGUAUCAUUAUGUUAACAUGAUUAAUUUUUACAUUUACUGUUAUAAGAUAAUUCCUCGUGAAGCAUGAGCCACGUUAUUUAAACUCCAAGUUGAUCAUCGAAGAGAAUAUGGGAAUGGCUGUAUAAAGAAGCCAUUAGCUAGCUAAUAGCAUCUUAGCCAAACAAAUUGAGGAACCACAAUCCCCUACUAGUGUGUGUUUGUGUUGAGAUUGAGAAAGAUUGAGAGAUGGGUUCUAUGGGAUCUGAUCACAAGCCCCAUGCAGUGUGCAUCCCCUACCCGGCGCAGGGCCACAUAACGCCCAUGUUGAAGGUGGCCAAGCUCCUCCACUCCCUCCAUGGAUUCCACAUCACCUUCGUCAACACCGACUACAACCACCGCCGCCUCCUCCGCUCGCAGGGCCCCGCUGCCCUCGAUGGCCUUCCCGAAUUCCAAUUCGUCACCAUCCCCGACGGCCUCCCCCCCUCUGAUGACGACAGCACGCAGGACAUCCCCUCCCUCUGUCGAUCCACCAUGACCACCUGCCUCCCCCACUUCCGCAAACUCCUUGAGGAGCUCAACGACACAUCCACAAGCCUCCCGAAGGUGACCUGCGUCAUCUCCGAUUGCGUCAUGAGCUUCACGUUGGACGCCGCGAGGGGGCUUGGCGUCCCUAUUGCUUUCUUCUGGACCGCGAGUACUUGUGGCUUCAUGGGCUACUUCCACUACAGGCACCUCAUCGACGAGGGCAUCAUUCCGCUCAAAGGUGCACAAUUUGAUACUAUUUUUAUAUCAGGUACCAUGUAGACCACCGCCAGAGUGCUCAAUUGAUCAGGUGAAAUACGUACUAACAAAUAAUACGAAAAGAAUUUCAUCCAUUGGAUGUAAAACUCUUUUUAAACAGUAUCUUUAUCUUGAAUGUGAUUUUAGAUUUAUUGGUAGAACUAGCAAUCGAAUCUCAUGUUGUUAUAUGAGGUGCAAGUAUUACAAUAUUGCUUAGAUAAGAUUACUGAACCAGCAUCUCACGGACAUGUUUGGUAGUAUACUAAUGAGGUUCGUCGAUCGGGAACAGAUGCGAGUCAAUUCACCAACGGGUACCUCGACACCGCAAUCGGCUCGGUCCCCGGAUUAAAGAACAUGAGGCUGAGAGACUUCCCAAGCUUCCUCCGUACGCUGGACCCCGACGAGUUCAUGGUGCACUUCAUCCUGCGGGAGAUGGAGCGCGCCACCAUGCCGGACGCCAUCAUUGUCAACACGUUCGACGAUUUCGAGCGCCGGGCGCUCGAAGCCAUGGCGGCGAUCCUUCCGCCCAUCUACACCGUCGGCCCCCUCCCCCUCCUCGCCCGCCGCAUCCCCCACGGUCCACUCAGCUCCGUGGGUUCCAACCUGUGGAAGGAGGAGCCCGCAUGCUUAAAAUGGUUGGAAGACAAAAGGCCCGGGUCCGUUGUCUACGUGAACUUCGGUAGCAUAACGGUCAUGACCAACCAGCAACUGAUAGAGUUCGCGUGGGGGCUCGCGAACAGCGAGCACGAGUUUCUGUGGAUCAUCAGACCCGACCUCGUUAAGGGCGACACCGCGGUGCUCCCGCCGGAGUUUGUAGAAGGGACGAAGGAGAGGGGGCUCAUGGCGAGCUGGUGCCCGCAGGAGGAAGUGCUUCGCCACCCCGCGGUGGGCGCGUUCCUGACGCACAGCGGGUGGAACUCAACGCUAGAGAGCGUGUGCGGUGGCGUUCCGAUGCUGAGCUGGCCCUUCUUUGCAGAGCAGCAGACCAACUGCAGGUCUUGCAAAACAACCGUUUUAUCCUAAAAACUUAAACCAAUAAAAAUAACUAUUAAUUAAUUUUAAUCAUUUAUGUUCUACAGAUACGUGUGCACGGAGUGGGGUAUAGGGAUGGAGAUCGACAACGACGUGAAGCGGAAGGAGGUGGAGGGGUUGAUAAGAGAGAUCAUGGGAGGCGAGAAGGGGAAGGAGAUGAAGAGGAGGGCCAUGGAGUGGAAGGAGAUCGCCGUGGAAGCGACGCAGGAGGGUGGUCCCUCUCUUGUAAAUCUCAAGAGGUUGGUCCACGAGGUACUUUUGGCGAAGAAGGGCGCUGUGUAAACUGUAGCACUUGUCCCAGAACCUGCUCUACAACAUCAUAUGAGGACCAGUCAAUUGAGCGGCCCUUUUUUUAUUUUUAUUUUUAGUUUUUAAAUUAGCUCGGAUCUAAAGUAGGGGUGACAAUCCAGCUCGCUGUUCAUGAGUCAGUUCAUGUUCGGCUCGAAAUAAGUUUAAGAUCGAAUCGCUCGUUUAAUAAACGAGCCAAACAUAAGCUGAAUUUUUCGAAUCGUUUAUUAAACGAACCGAACACAAGCUGGGCUUAGCUCGCUCGUGUUUGGCUCGAUCACAGUUCGAAUACAUAUAUUUUAUACUUAUAUAAUUUAUUUAAUUUAUAUUUAUAUAUAUAAAUAAAUAAUUAUAUAUAAUAUAUAUUUUUAUUAUUUAAUUUUUAGCAAAAUAAAAAUAUAAAGACGAGCUCAAUUAUAAAAAGAUUCAUUUAUAUGUAAACUUUCAACUAUUAGAUCAAAGUCUAAUGGAUAAGAUUUUAUAAAUUUAUUUUUUAUAUAUAUUCAAUCUAAUUCUUUUAACUUAUUAUUCGUUGGUCAGCUCGCGAGCCAGCUCGUAUUCAACUCGUUUAUUAAUAAGCCGUAUACGAGCUGAAUUUUUUGGCUCAAUAUUUUAACGAGCCAACUCGUGUUCGGCUCAUUUAUUACACGAGCCAGCUCUAGCUCAUUCGUUUUCGGCCCGUUUACACCACUAAUCUAAAGUAUUGUAUUGUUUGACAUAUUAUUCUGAUUAAAAAAAGAAAUUCUCAGCCGUCCAUUGACUUCCUAAUGGGAGAUAUUUGAUUACAAGAAGGGCUUUUUGCUCGUAGCUUUCAAAAUUACGCCCAACAUAAUUCGUUUGCAUACAAAUGAAUGACGGUUUACAACUAAGUCGCAAAAUUGCAACAAAAAUAGUAUUGAGGUGGAAGAAGUUUAAUAUAUUUUUUAUAAUUUUAAAAAUAUUUUAUUUAUUAUUGAAUGACCAAAAUUUUUUUAUUGGUUUCAAAAUAUCCCUUCAAAAAUCUCCCUUUUCUCUAGGGUUUACUAAUAAAAUUAAAUUUUUGAAGAGUAUUUUGAGUGUUGAGAGGUAAAAUUAAAUUUUUUUAAUAACAGUAACGAGCAAGUAAACAAAAGUUACUAAAAAUAAUGUCUUCUAGCCGUUUAAGUCUUUUUGAAAAUUGCAGCCGACUAGACAUUAUUUAACAUGAUGCCACAGAAUAUUUUGAGUUUAAAUUUUAUCCGACACCUAGUCUUACAUUACAUGUAGUUUUUAUUCUUCAAUAAAAUAUUUUUAUAUCGUGGUCUAAGGAGAAAAUCUGUGUUGAGAUUUGUUUGAUAACUUCUUUUUAAAUAACGCGAACCAAAUAAGCCUUAUUCAGAAGUUAGCAUCAAAUCUUGACUUCUAAUUUUUUAGCUUAGAAUCGCAAUCAUCUUCUCAUUACAAUAGAAGUUCUAAAUUUGUUAGUUUGUCAAAUAUUUCGUUAGAAAUAAUUGUGACUAGAAGCAAAUCAGAAAUAAGGCCAAAUUAGUAAAAAAAAAAAAAAAAAAAAAAAUUAUUCUUUACAAAAAAAAAAAAUUGUUCCUUUAUAUAAGACGUGGAAGACGAAGAUUAGAAUAUAAAUACUAAUUCAUCAAAAGCGUCAUUAUAGGAGUAUUAAGAUUUCUUCACGGAAUAAAUUCUAAUGUUAUUUUUAAUUUUCUGGCGCUUAAUUUGAAUUUUUGGACUUGGCCAAUUUGACCUUCCGACGUAAAGCAAGAUACUGACCUCUUUAGCCCAACAAUUCUCUUCUCUUGUUGGCGCUAACCAUUAAACCUGAAAGUUCAAACUGUUAGAAAUACACAACUAAUCUUUUAAAAGUGUAUCUUGAUUGUGACUUGGCCUUAUCAAACUCACGUCAUUUCGAACAUGAUUUGUCCAACUUAGUUUUACACCAUUUCAAACGUAUCUCGACCGACCUGACCUUCCGUCACAAAAAAAAAUAUUAAUAUUUUUAAGCCAACAAAAAUAUCAAAAUAUACCUUAGCAAAAAUGUACAUAACAUAAACGUCAGUAUACAUGUAGUGACUCUUUAUUUGUUAAUAUUUUUUGUCCACGCAUUCUCAUGUAACAGUAAACUACUUUGGAUUACUUUUAAAUAUUGUUAAUUAUUAAAAAAACAAAUCUUGAGAGUUUUUGAUUGACUUGUGCAAGCUAACUAGCGUUCUAAGCUCCAUUUGUCCACCAUAAUUCACUAUAACACUGGAGCACAUGGAUAUCAUCGGUUGCUACAGGUGUAGAGUUUGCAUCUGUACACAGAUAUAGCAUAUUCCAAUUAAUGAAGACUUAAAAGAUAAAUUAAUUAGAUAGUUGAAUUUUAACGAAAAAGUGAUAGGCCAGUGUAGUAAAUAUUAAUUGCUCAUGAUGCCACGUUAUUUGAAUUCCAAGUUGAUCAAAUAGAACACGGCAAUUAAUGGUUAUAUAUAUAUAUAUAUAUAUAUAUAUAUAUAUAUAUAUAUAUAUAUAUAAUAUAAGACUAGGCUACUAUACUAUCUAUAGUACCGAGCUCCGGUACUAUAGUGUUUGUUUUCGAUCUUAGGGCGUUCAAAUCAACGAUCCACACCGUUAAAACUGAUCUAGAGUAUUUAAAGUUUCUAUAAAUAAAAUUUUAUAUUUUUUCGAAAUAGUUUACUUUAUUAUCAAACUAUUUCAAAAUUAUCAAUUUUCAAUGGCUAUUAUGACGAGUUUGGAAUUUAACGGUGUAGAAGAAUCUAAAUUUCUUCAAAUUUUGAUAGAAAAUACUUUAAACUAUAUAAAUCAAGGUUAACAUUCUUGAUCUUGAAUUUAAAAGUCCUAUACUCAAAUUUUAAAGAUUAUUCAAUUUUCACCGUCCAUUUUGAUAUAAUUUAUUUACUAAGUAAACGAUAUCGAAAAACACUAAAAUUUUAUUCCUAAGAAAUUCAUAUACCCUAGAUCAUAUUUAACGGUGCGAAUCGUUAAUUUGAAUGUCCUAAGAUCGAAAACAAACACUAUAAUACCGAAGCUCGGUACUAUAGAUAGUAUAGUAGCAUAUAUAUAUAUAUAUAUAUAUAUAGAAAAGCCAUAAGCUAGUGAGCAAGUAGAAUCAUAGCCAAACAAAUUAAGGAACCACAAUCCCUGUGUGUGUGUGUUUGUACUGAUAUUGGGAAAGAUAGAGAGAUGGGCUCCAUGGAAUCGGAUCACAAGCCCCAUGCAGUGUGCAUCCCCUUCCCGGCGCAGGGCCACAUAACGCCCAUGUUGAAGGUGGCCAAGCUCCUCCACUCCUUCCACGGCUUCCACAUCACCUUCGUCAACACCGAGUACAACCACCGCCGCCUCCUCCGCUCGCAGGGCCCCGCCGCCCUCGACGGCCUCCCCGACUUCCGAUUCGCCACCAUCCCCGACGGCCUCCCCUACUCGGAUGAGGAUAGAAUGCAGGACGUCCCCUCCCUCUGCCGGUCCACCACGACCAACUGCCUCCCCCACUUCCGCAAACUCCUCGCGGAGCUCAACGACCCGUCGUCCGACCCCCCGAAGGUGACCUGCGUCGUCUCUGACGCUGUCAUGAGCUUCACGCUGGACGCCGUGAAGGAGCUCGGCAUCCCCGACGUCCUCUUUUGGACUGCUAGUGCCAUUGGCUACAUCGGCUAUCGCUACUGCAGGCACCUCAUGGAGAAGGGCAUCGUUCCGCUUAAAGGUACAGCACGCUUAGGCCCCGUUUGGAUACUCCUGAAAACGUAGUAUAGUUAAACUAUGCUACGGCGGUAAAAAAAAUAUCCUAUAAAGUGUUUGGAAGGAAAAAAAAAUAACGUAAUUUUUGGAGUAUAGUUAAACUAUACUCUAAAAAAUAAAGUAAAAGUAUAAUCCACUUUAACCAAAGAAAAAAAAUUUUCACCAUUCAUGAGCUCCCUUACUCAAAAAAAUGCAUCAACUUCUAACUUUUACUUUAUUUUUUAGAGUAUAGUUUAACUAUACUCCAAAAAUUACGUUAUUUUUUUUUCCUUCCAAACACUUUAUAGGAUAUUUUUUUUACCGCCGUAGCAUAGUUUAACUAUACUACGUUUUCAGGAGUAUCCAAACGGGGCCUAAGCGUGCUGUACCUUUAAGCGGAACGAUGCCCUUCUCCAUGAGGUGCCUGCAGUAGCGAUAGCCGAUGUAGCCAAUGGCACUAGCAGUCCAAAAGAGGACGUCGGGGAUGCCGAGCUCCUUCACGGCGUCCAGCGUGAAGCUCAUGACAGCGUCAGAGACGACGCAGGUCACCUUCGGGGGGUCGGACGACGGGUCGUUGAGCUCCGCGAGGAGUUUGCGGAAGUGGGGGAGGCAGUUGGUCGUGGUGGACCGGCAGAGGGAGGGGACGUCCUGCAUUCUAUCCUCAUCCGAGUAGGGGAGGCCGUCGGGGAUGGUGGCGAAUCGGAAGUCGGGGAGGCCGUCGAGGGCGGCGGGGCCCUGCGAGCGGAGGAGGCGGCGGUGGUUGUACUCGGNCCAAAUUUCAAAUUUUAAAUUUUAAAUUUUAAAUUUUUUAUUUUAAAAUUUUAAAUUUAAAAAUUUAAAAAUUUAAAAAUUAAAUUUAGAUUUUUAAUUUUUAAAUUUUAAAUUUGUAAAUUUCAAAUUUGAAAAUUUGAAAUUUAAAAUUCAAAAUUCAAAAUUUCACAUUUCACAUAUCAAAUUUUAAAUUUUAAAUUUUUUUCGAAAAUUUUAAUUUUAGCUUUUAAUCUUAAAAUUUAGAAAAAUUCUGUGAAAUUGUACAAUGCGUAUCCAAACAGUUUAAAAAUUGAAUCCGUGGAAUUUUUUAGAGUUGCAGGAUUCUCUAUUUUAUCUAGACUGAAACCACAGUUUAUAAAUUCCGUGAAGAUAUUUUACUGUGCAUCCAAACAGGCCCUUAAUUUCAGACCUGUUUGGUUCUUUUUUUUUUUUCUUUUUUUUAAGAGAUAGGUAGCACGUUACUUGCUUCGUUUAUUUUAUUUAGAAAUAAAUUUAGUUAAAAAUGUGAAUUAAUUAGGAUUCGAAUUUGAAACUUCGGGUAAUAACUACCAAGCUAUUUACCACUUGUUUGGUUCUGCUUCUGCUUUUAAGUAUACUUGUCGGGCCGUGCUACGUGAAUAGAUAUUGACAGCUUUUGUGUGGACAGAUGUAGGUCAGCUAACUGAUGGGCAUCUCGAAACACCGAUCGAUUGGGUGCCGGGAGCGCCGAACAUGAGACUACGAGACUUCCCGAGCUUCAUUCGAACGCAGGACCCCGACGACUUCAUGGUUUACUUCGUCCUACACGAGACGGAGCGCACCCCCAUGGCGUCUGCUGUCCUCCUCAACACGUUCGAUGAUUUCGAGCGCCCGGUGCUCGAAGCCAUGGCGGCGAUCCUGCCACCCAUCUACACCAUCGGCCCCCUCCCCCUCCUCGCUCGCCGCAUCCCCCACGGUCCACUCAGCUCCGUGGGCUCCAGCCUGUGGAAGGAGGAGCCCGCUUGCUUACAAUGGUUGGAAAACAAAAGGCCCGGGUCCGUUGUCUACGUGAACUUCGGUAGCGUAACGGUCAUGACGAACCAGCAACUGAUAGAGUUCGCGUGGGGGCUCGCGAAUAGCAAGUACGAGUUUCUGUGGAUCAUCAGGCCCGACCUUGUUAAGGGCGACACCGCGGUGCUCCCGCCGGAGUUUGUAGAGGGGAUGAAGGAGAGGGGGCUCAUGGCGAGCUGGUGCCCGCAGGAGGAAGUGCUUCGCCACCCCGCGGUGGGCGCGUUCCUGACGCACAGCGGGUGGAACUCAACGCUGGAGAGCGUGUGCGGUGGUGUGCCGAUGCUGAGCUGGCCCUUCUUCGCAGAGCAGCAGACCAACUGCAGGUACUGCAAAACAAUCGUCUUACUCUAAAAUCUUUAAAUUUUUUUUAAAAAAAUUCAUAUGAAUUGAUUUUAAUUAAUCUUUCAUGUUCCGCAGGUACACGUGCGCGGAGUGGGGGAUCGGGAUGGAGAUUGAUGGUGAUGUGAAGAGAAAGGAGGUGGAGGGGUUGAUAAGAGAGAUCAUGGGAGGGGAGAAGGGGAAGGAGAUGAAGAGGAGGGCCAUGGAGUGGAAGGACAUGGCGGCGAAGGCGGCGCAGGAGGGUGGCCCCUCUUUUGCAAAUUUCGACAAGUUGGUUGGCCAAGUGCUGCUUUCCAAGAAAGAUGUUGUCUACGAUAGCAAGUUAAAUUAUUACAGUUAGGUAGGACCUCGGUCGAAGUCUGGUCUUAGAUAUAUAGCAAGUUAAAUUAUUCCAGUUCAAAGUGAGCUGCAAAUCUAGUGUUGUCCUUUGGUAAUUCGAAAUGCUUGACUAAAUAAAUUGCUUUUGCUUGUAACUUUGAGAAUUAUGCCAAAUGCAACUCGUGUAUGUAGAUGUGCAUGGAGCUUUACAAAUACGUUAUAAAAUUAUAAUCAAAACAGAACUUGAGAUGGAAGAAUCAAGAUGAUAGUGUUGAAAAUAAUAGUCUAAGAUUUUGAAAAAUAACAAUCAUAUCGACAUUAUUUUAUUAUACCAAACGUCUAGUCUUACUUUAUGUUUUCACCUCCUGAGGUCAGGGAUUUGAUCCGUACCUUAAUCCAAUUUAUACGUACGAGUAAGGGCGUUAAAUAUAUGUUCCCGAAUCCAUACUCGAUUCGAUGGAUCUUUUGGGUAACAAUUCUCUAUCAUAAAACAAAAACUAUAAUUCAGGAUUUUGUGCUUAUGCUAAUUAAGCUGCUCAAGAAAGCUAGGUUACGAAUAUGAGAAAAACUACUAAAAGAAACCAAGGAAACGGUAAACUUUGACAAUCAAAUAUCAUCAAUUCUGGAAACUUCCUUGCAUAGAAGCAAAUAGUUCUACACCUCAAUGACUAUUCAACAAAAAUAGGCAAAAAAAUGUCAUCAACAUCAGUAUUCAAUUAUUGUACAUCAUAUAAUUGUAAACUUAAAUUUGACACGUUUUAUAAAUUUAGCGUUACACUUAACAGUUGUACAAUGGACACGGUCAAUGGAGAUGCCUUUGAGCAAGAGAAAUUCAAAAAAAGAAAGAAAGAAAUUAAAGAAUAAAAAGCAAUUAAGAAAAAAAAAUAUGUUUUAUCCGUAAAUUAGUGUGUGUAACUGUAUAUCUUAGGGCCCUUCUAUCAUAGGCAAUAGGAUCUUCUCGCAAUUAAGUCACUUAUUAAGAUUUAAUCACCCUACAAUACUUGAGGAUCAUUAAUGAAAAUAUGUGAUUAAUGAAGGUGAUUGUUUAAAAAAUAGGUCGUCCAGAAGCCUUCAAGUAUCAGGAUUAUUCUCGACGUUUGCUCCAGCUGUAGAGGGAGAUUGAGAGGCUUGUGAAUCUGAUGCACAAACAUGAUGAACGGAGUUAAUAAUGAGGAUAAUUUUGCGAAUAUAAAUUCUAAAACAGUGUUUUUUUUUAAAAAAAAAGAGCUAAAACAGGAUAUUUUCUGUUAGUUAAGUACAUUACGCAAACACAUAUCAUUCACAUCUUCUGUAUUUUCCCCCUUUAUUCAACAAUAAAAUCAAUCACAUUUUCAUAUUGGUGUGGACCUGCACUUUAGAGUUUCGACAAAAAUAUUGUUUGAAUAAAAUAAUUUAAAAAGUAAUUAAUGGCUUUUGUAUCAAGAUCAAUUCUAAGCUUGUUGUAGAAACAUGCAAAAGCUUUAAUACCUUUUAUUUUGUAACAUAUAGUAAUUUUAGCUUCACGUCAUGCCUGAACGUUAUCUUGUGAAGUAGAGAGAAGCAUGAUUAUGGAUCUUCUAUUUAAAGAAAUAAUAAUAAUAAUAAUAAAAAAGAGCACCAAGUAUUUUUUUCAAACAAACACAUAAAAAUGAGGGAUCAAGCCCAUAGCUUCUCGAGUCGUAUAAAAUAUUGAGGUUCAAAACAGGUCUUAAUUAAGAUGAUAGGUCAAUCGGAAACUUAAAAACAAAGACAAAUAUAUAUAUAUAUAUAUAUAUAUAUAUAUAUAUAUAUAUAUAGAGAGAGAGAGAGAGAGAGAGAGAGAGAGAGAGAGAGAGAGAGAGAACUAGGCUAGAAUACUAUCAAUAGCACCAAGUUGUUUGUGCUUAUUAGUUUUUUAGCCUUUGAUUCAGAAAUGUGCGUUAGAAUGAUAUGGGCCUCUAGGUUGAGUGGGUGAUUGUUGAAUAGUAUAAUCUAACGGAUGAUAAUAAUCAAGGAGAGUUAAUCUAACGUUGAAAACUUGAUAGCACCAAUGUUUGGUGCUAUCGAUAGCAUAGCAGCCGGACUCUAUAUAUAUAUAUAUAUAUAUAUAUAUUAUAUAUAUUUAAAGUAAUUUGUUUUAAAAUAAUUUAAAAUGCCAUCAUUAUAUAGUUGCAUAGAUUUUUUUUUUUUUUUUUUUUUUAAAGAGGGAUGGUGCUCAAAGUUUUUUUUUUCUUUUUAAGAAUUAAAUAACGAGCUACCUUUUCAUUCAUUAUAGAAAUGAAUUAGACUUACAUAAUGAAAGCAACGGAGUCCAAAGUGGAAGUGAAGUACAGUUGUAUUGGCAUUUUGCCGUGCACGUGGUGGAAGUUGGAGUUGGAAAUAUGCGGCGGCGAAAAGGAGCGCUCGAAGGACCCAUCCAUCUGGGCCGUCGGAUAUGGGUGUACGGGCACGCAGUCCACCGAGUGGGGAAUGAAAACUACCCCGUGGACUCGCCACGUAUGUGUAAGGGAAUGGUUGUGGACCGAGAGUCGGUGGUGAACCCGGUCCAUAGACCCCCAAGAUCUGCUGAUAAUAUUGCUGGUUAAUUUGCGGACCAGUGUAGAUCAGAGCCUGCUCCAUAAAUGCUAGUUAAAUGUAACUUCAUAAAUUCUCGUCAAAUAAUUAACAUACGUAAUUUAAUGUAAAAUUAUAUCUUAUAAUUCUCCAAGAAAAAAUGAGAUCCGCAUUUUUUUUAUUAUUUUCAAAAAUAAAAAUCAGCAACAAAUAUAAGAGGAUUACAUUGAGUUUAGAUGAACAAAGGCACUUACAUGGUGAUAAGCAUAAUCAGUUGGAUAGGUAGGAUACCUGCAAAGUGGACACAUUUAUUAGUGAACGAGAUAUGAGAUAAAAGCAGGUGUUUCCCUGCGCUUUGUGUGUUGAUUUUGCAGCACGCCACAGAUCGCUGCUGUUUGGAAUUUAACGGUUGUGCGCGGAGUUUGCAAAAUUCUACGAUUUUAAGAAAGCUUUGAGAGCUUUUUUUCGCAUAAGCUUGCGAUGCGGUCGCAAGGCCAAACAAGGCCGAAGAAGCAUACGAACUCAUUAAUUUGUGUUGUUAUUAAGGCCCACUGCAGCUUAAGAGUUGCAUUAUCGGUUUUCGAAAUUCGUAGCCCAAAUUUUAGGACACACAGAAUUAGAUAUCAUUCUGAUGCAAUCCAAUUCUUCUAGCUGUUGAUAGGAGCCGUACUUUUCUCUUCUUCUUUUUUUUCUGAAUAAUGCGAGACUGCUAGAUCCAUACUAUGUGAUUUUAGAAGUAAUUGAAGGACUCGUACCGUUAAAUGAUUGACAUUUUAAAUAAAUAUCAGAUCACCCCUCAAUUCUACGAGGUCAUGGAUCCAAUUCUCAAUUGUGAAAAACCGAAUUGAUUAAAAUCCUAUCUCUUACAUUUUACAUGUGAACAUAGGUACUUAUUAUAUCAUAUCAUAGGAGGUAGUAUACUAUCCGCUUCGUUUAUUUCAUUUAGAAAUAAACUUCGCUAGAAAUGUGAAUCAACUAGAAUUCGAACUUGGGUCUCAAGUACCAACCACCAAGCCCUUUUGCCACUUGUGCCAGGAACAGUCGGUGAAAUAGAAAAAUACUAAUAUGUUAUAAACAGGGGUUAAAGGUUGUUGGCAUGGCAUUAAUUCUAAAGCAAAAGAGAACCAAACAAUGAUGAAGAAAUAAAUAUUAGUAACCAGUUAAUUAAGGAAAAACACUCACCCCAUAUUCGGAGGGUAUAUUAGUGGGGGAAGAGGCAUUUGGGCUGGUACUCUGUUAAAUCGUGGCCCUGUUGAGCCCUCAAAAACGCCCCCACUUUGAUUCAUUCCUACACACAGCAAAAAUAUAUUGGAAAUGAGAACAGUAAAAAAAAAAGAAAAAAAGAACAAAACAAAACAAAACAAAAACGAAAGUAAAUUACAUUCCAUAAAUGGCAUGUUACUUAUGCCUAGGAUCACUUCGAUUUGAUACUGUGACUAAUGAAAAAUAGCCUUAGGCACGAAGCACAUCAAAAGAUAAUAUCUUAAAAGAUAUCUACAACCAAAAAGGGCAUUUUGCAGAGUAUCUUGCAGUAAAGCGAUACGAACGAUGUAGAAAAAAAUAAUAAUUAUUCUUAUUCUUGUGGAUAAGGAUCAUUGAUGGUCCUUGAACUAAUCAUCCUUCACCCUUCUAUUGUGGCAUUCAUGUCAUUUUCGUGGGGACCCACACUACAUUACACAAAUGGAGGUGCACGUAAACAUCAACCAUUAGAUGAGCCUCAUAUUUCCCUUUUAAUGUUACUACAAGGCCCAAAUCAUAUGGAUGUGAUAUGGGUCACAGGUCAUCAAAUUUAGCUACAUAAUAAUAAUAAUUAUUGGCUUUACUACCAAUACUACUUUAUUUAUUUAUUUAUUUUUAAAGCCAUUUUGCACUUACCUAAUCAAACUAACUUGUCCUAGAACUUGACUGUGACCCGUUCAUUGUGCCCAGAACAUUCUAAGCAAGUCACCCACCGUCUCAGUGCAUGUGACAAUUUUUAAUAAUUACUAUUCUAAAUGCAAACUCUAAUUAUCUUAUAUUUUUAAUUAAGUUUAUAUAUAUAAAAAAAAUCAACGAAACAGAUAAUAUGUUUUUUCUCACUAGGAAAAAGAAAAGAAAACACUAGAACAACUUCUUUUUUUUUUCCCCUAUAUUUCAGGUAAGCAAAUUAAGCCCUUUUUUUUUAGCAUAAGAAAAUUUAAAAACUAAUCCAUUUUUUUUUAAAAAAAAAAAGUAAAAAAAUAGUCAAUUGAGAAUGCAUCUUAGGCCAGGCUGGCAAAGCUUUAGUGGCCCACCACCCAAGCCUUGCUCCGAUGCGCUGGCACCCAACGUUUCUACCGUGUCUUUGUGGGCCCCAUCGUUGAUUGGGUCCCUCCAAUGGCCAUUGGCCAAUUAGGUUGAGCUUUGUGAUCACACACACAAUGCAAUUAAUCCUCUAAACAUUAGAUAAUCACUAGCAAUAAUAAUAUAAUAAUCAUUAUAUUAGGACCGCCCCACCUGGUGGAAGAGGAGGAGGAGGAGGAGGAGGAGGAGCAGCAGGCCGCGGCCGGCGCUGCGCGGCGAUGUUGCAGUUAGCUCGCCUGCUGCCGAUCAUCGGGUUCGGCUCCGCCACGGCCCUGCUCGCAGAAUCCGGCUCGCGAAACGUGACCUGUGUCCAAUUCACAUAUUUAUAAGCUAAUCCGAAUAUCAUCGAAACAAUAUGUUACCAAAUAAAAUUAAAAAGGGCAUGAGAAGAUUAACGCGAUCUUUUAACUUAAUGAUCAUGAUCGUGAUCAAGUGGAGUGAGAAGAGAGAGAGAGAGAGAGAGAAUUGAUGAGCUUACAAAGCCGUAGCCCUUGGAUCGGCCGGUGCUGCGGUCGGCGAUGACGACGGCCUCGAGGAUGUCGCCGAACUGCGCGAAGUGGCGGUGCAGCUCGGCGCUGGUGAUCUCCCACGCCAGGCCCCCGACGAACACCUUCGUCCGCGUCGUGUCGCCGAACCUCGACCGGAAUUGCGGGGCGGCCGAGGGAGACGACGACGACGACGACGACGAAGCCAUGCGAUCGGAACACCAACUACGUACGGCUAAAAUCUAAAAUCACAAGAUGAACAACAACAACAACAACAACAACAAGAACAAGGACAAGGACAAGAAUAGAAGAGAGAGGUAGAGAGAGAGAGAGGGGGAUGGGUAUAUAUGUAUUAUUGGGUUCUACGCAUCAUCAAAAGGAGAGAUGGGUCUUCGCUGAAUUGUCGUAUUAUUAUCUUCCUACGGAUUCGUUUCUCUUCCUCUUCUUUGGUGGUCUCUGAUUCCAUGUCCUGGGCUGAUCUUUUUGGGGCUAUAGGUUCUGUGGAAAAAGGGGAGAAACUAAUAAGAGAAUAAUAAAGAGAGAUCGAGAAGGGGGGGAUUUAUUGUUAAUAAUAAAAAUAAGGAGAGGAAUAUUGAACGGGUGCGAAGGAGUUAAUUCCUCGCUGGAUGGAGGAUAUGAAUGUCAAAUGACAGCUCUGCGCGAGCCCCCACUAUUGUUCUCCUCCUCCUCCUAGCCUGCUAAACCUCCCUCCCUUUUAAUAAUUUCUCGCUCCUAAAUAGAUCGCUUUUAACACAAGUGAUAAAAAAUUUGAUAGUUUAUAUCGAAAAUUUCAAAUUUGAAUCAUAAUUAAUUUAUAUUUUAAAUUAAAUUUAUUUCUAAAAAAAAUAAACGAAAUGAAUAAUAUGCUAUCUAUUUCUCAGAAGAAAAAAUAAAUAAAUAAAACAUGACGGUCACAUUACUGACAUGAUAUUUUCGGUCAAUAGAUAUACACUCUGACGAUUAUCCAUUCCAUCAUGACUAUUUAAAAAAUAAUUUUGUUGUAAUUUUAUUUCAAAAUAAGAUAUAUGAUUGAGUGAUUAUAGAUGACUUCCUCACUUGAUUUUGAGAAUAAAUGAAUAAUUUUAGUGCGCUCUCUCUCUCUAUAUAUAUUUCCAUUCCGGUCCGUUUGCACCUUCUUUGGCAUCCUAUUUAUUUUGUAUUUGUUUACAUAAAAUUUUGUUUAUCAAAAUAUUACAGGACGGGAUGGUAUAUUAAGUGCAAUUGUUUCAUCCGAAGUAUUUAAUUGACAAUAAAAGUAAAAAUUUAAGAGUUUUUUUUUUGUCAAUGUUUUUUUAAAUAAGUUAUUAUCUAUUACUUAAUUGGAUGAAUUGUAAACUAUUCAAACAAACAUGCUUUUCUUUUUAGAAUUAGUGCUUAGAAAAGUGUAAGUGUUUAAAAAAUGUGAUUGUUUUAAAAAAAAAAUGCGAGACCAAAACAGGGCUUUUUUUUUUUAAAACAAUAUAUAUUAACUGAUACAAUAUAACUUUAGAUAACAAAAAAAGAAAGUUGAUAAAAAAUAUAUGCGCCUCUCUAGGAUAAGAGAGAAUCAGAGAGAGAGAGACCACGACGAACGUAAUUUUCUCUCACUUUAUGCCAAAAUUAUAUAGAUUUAAGCAUUUUAGGAUUUUAUUCUAGAAUUACAUAAAUUAAGCUUAUUUUGUUGUAUUUAAUAUUUGUACAAAGGGUGUUUAAACAACUCUUAUAGACAAAAAGAGAAAGAAAGAUGUAUAAGUAAUUCAAUAACUCCAUAUUAAACAGAAGUUUCCAACUUUAAUAAAUCUCUGUGCAAUUCUUUUUACACAUCAUAAGAUAUAAUUACUCAAUCAUGAUCAGCAAAUCAGCAAAUUUUGAAAUAUGUCGUAAUAAAGUCUAGUUCCGAACUAUUGUCGUCGAAUUUUGGAGCAUACGAUGGACAAAAUAAAUGAUUUUAAUUAUUUUGACGCAGACAACAAUGAUUCUAAAAAUUUUAUCUCAUUCCAAUAAAAUAUUGACACUCAAAACCAAAAAGUAUUCUUAACUAAUAAGAAAGAGCAGGGACAAAGAUGUUUUCGAUAAGUAUCGAUGCAAUCACAAAGUUAUCCACAUCGGAUUAAAUUAGGAUAUGACUCAUCCACUCCGGACAAAAAUUUUGUGUACGGGCGCCCAACAUCACCGCCCUUUUCCAUCGUCGGCUUUUUCUUCUCUCUCUCAAAAAUUGGAGCCCAUAAUUUUAUUUUUAUUAUUUUUUGGAGGGUCGCGAUGGGCGCAGCAUACCACGCGGCUCCUAUCGGCAUCAUUCCCAAACAAAUUAUCUGAGGAUGAUGCCCACAAAAUUUUUAUCCAUCCACUCCUAUCAGAGUUUGGUGACUUGCGAAUGUGGGACCCGCUUGUAUUUUAUACAUGGAUAUAACACAUAUUUAUAAAUCUCUUACAAAGUCCAAUAUUAAUUCAUUUGUUUUCUUUUUUUUUGUGUUAAUUACAUGUAGUUCUUUAUAACCAUAUCGAAUAGCAAAUAUAUUCCCACAAACUUUAAUUUUUCAUAUUUAUUUCUACAAAACUCUUAAUAUUUUUAAAUAUAUUCUAACUAUUAGAAUCCGUUAAAAAAAUAUAGUUAAUCAAUAGAUAAAAUUAUUAACUCUGAUUAAUAAAUGAGAUAAAUUGAUAUUUUUAUCCCUCUUAUAUUAUUUGAGAUGGUAGAAAUGAAGAAAAUAACUGUUAAAAUUUUUUGAAAGAAUAUUUCUGCAUAAUUUUAACAGUUGAAAUUUUUUUAAGAACAUAUUUGUGACGGAAAAACUAUUAUUUUACUUAUUAAUUUUCUGUUAAAAAAAAAACGAAACUCUAAUAGUAACAAAUCAAAAAUGCAAAUAUAAAUAUUAUUUGACUUUUGUAGAAAUAAAUAUAAAAAAUUAAACUUUGUAUAUUAUAUUUGUUAUUUAAUAUAUUUCUGUGUGAAAUUAAUUUUUAUUUUUUUUCACUACAUUUCAAAAAGGUUGUAUUAAUUCUUGGAUCACGAGUGUGAGCUGUACUACUAAAUGGUCUUUUCCGCACCUCUUCCUUAUAAAUUCCACUGUAAUGGUACCAUAUUUCUUUUCCCACAAGGAACUCCUAAGAAUAGUUAAAGGACCACUUGAUUCAACAUAAAAUCAUGGAAAUUAACUUUUGAUGAGAAAACAUUUUUGACAAUUUUUUUUUAUGUUCUAUAGUGUUCAGUUUAAUACAAAAAAAAAAUUUAUAUCAAUAUUUAUUUGGUUGAAAAAAAAAACUAUAUUUAUUUAGUUCGGUGGACAAAAAUAAAUGAAAAAAAUUUUACAUUGUUUAAAUUUUCAUUUUUCACGAAAAAAUGGCGGAAAACAAAAACUAUAAUUUUAUUUUCAAAUCUGUAAAAAUACUUAAAAUAUUUUUUACAUCGAAUCAAACAAACAAAAAAAAUAUUGUUCAUACUGAAAAUAACUGUUUGAUUCGUUUAUGCAAAACCAAACGCCCCAUAAUGCUGCGCAUGAAAUAACUUUUAGUGUGUGCAACAAUAUGCGUUUGAAUGUUACUCGUUAAAUCCAAGGUUAUUUAUUGGGGGAAUUUGUAGACCAUGGUGUCACGGACAAAAUAUUUUCCGUUGAUUUCUCCUUGACAGUGGCCCAAAUCUGCUAGCGAGUUCGGGUUGGUAACGGGUCGAAUCAGGUUGUCAAUACCCAAACCCAACCUGCUGUGGGAAACUCAAGGAUUAUGAAACUCACGGGAGUUAUGGGUGACUCUUGAGCUUUUUGUCAUUAUGAGGGCUCAUUACUAUGAAAUAGUGGGUGAGUUAAUAUAUGUCCUAAUGAGAGAGUUAGUGUGUCUCUAGGUUCAUUGUAUCUAGGAGUUUAUAAGUAGUGGGGUUUGGUUAAGGUCAAAACACACAAGAGAGAGUGUGUGUAUGUGUGGGUUGUAAUCUCUUUUCUAAGUAGUGUAGUACUUAGUUAUUGAGUGAACUUCUGCCUCUCUCUCUUUGUCAUUCCCUUUGCAUACUUAGUCGUAGGACGCGGAUGUCCGAACUAGCAACAAGGACGAAGGCUUGCCCAUCUUCGAGCAGGAAGGCGGGCGCCGCACGGACUUUGCGAACAGAACCGCUAAGCCAGUGACAGUUGGUAUCAAAGCCGGUUCGAGAAGGAACCAUGUCUUUGUCGGAAGCUGUCGUUGUUGACAUUGUGCCCGAGCGGGAGCGAACCGAGGGCGAUCGAGGUGAACCAUCAAAGACGAGUAAGGCCAAAGGUGGGGGAGAGCACCGCGAUCCAGGGGACGCAAAAGAGCGCAACGAGAGUUCAACUCUGACAGCCCUGCAGCUUUACGAGGAGGUGAAGCGCGGGAAGGCUGGGGACCUCGAGGAGGAGGGCCUGAGCGGCGGCGAGACUAUCGAGUCUCAUACGGCGCUGGAGUGGCCAGCGUCUAAGCAAAGUGCAAGUCAUUCUGCUAAGGAGCCUGCGAGGACCAAAAGGCGUUCUGCAGCUUGGCGGAGUACGCGUGCGUGUCGCGGAGGACAUGCACACUCGGGGCAUUCUGCAGCUUGGCAGAGUGCGCGUGCGUGUCGCGGAGGACAUGCACAUCCGGCAAACACUUCGCACAGCAGGCUCGCUGGUGUACUUGCUCAGAGGGGCAAGACACUAAGUGCUGGUGCGGGGAAAAAUGCGGACAUUGGGAGCAAGGCACAGGGACGAUCGAGCGCGAAGGCACGACGGACCACGCGAAAGGCUAUGCGGACUAGGAGCGACUCGGCGCGCGACGAGGGCGUCUACGCGUUAGGUGGGGGAGAAUGUCACAGACAAAAUAUUUUCCGUUGAUUUCUCCUUAACAGUGGCCCAAAUCUGCUAGCGAGUUCGGGUUGGUAACGGGUCGAAUCAGGUUGUCAAUACCCAAACCCAACCUGCUGUGGGAAACUCAAGAGUUAUGAAACUCACGGGAGUUAUAGGUGACUCUUGAGCUUUUGGUCAUUAUGAGGGCUUAUUAUUAUGAAAUAGUGGGUGAAUUAAUAUGUGUCCUAAUAAGAGAGUUAGUGUGUCUCUAGGUUCAUUGUAUCUAGAAGCUUAUAAGUAGUGGGGUUUGGUUAAAGUCAAAACACACAAGAGAGAGUGUGUGUAUGUGUGGGUUGUAAUCUCUUUUCUAAGUAGUGUAGUACUUAGUUUUUGAGUGAACUUCUGCCUCUCUCUCUCUUUGUCAUUCCCUUUGCAUACUUAGUCGUAGGACGCGAAGGCCCGGACUAGCAAUAAGGACGAAGGCUUGCCCAUCUUCGAGCAGGAAGGCGGGCGCCGCACGGACUUUGCGAACAGAAUCGCUAAGCCCGUGACAACGGGCUCAGUAAAUUUGAUGGGAUUUUUGGGAUUAGCCUUUUCUUUAGGUCAUAUUCAUCUUGGAUAUUAGAGUAUUUCUUGUAUUCUUAAUUAAUAUUUUUUUUCUUAUUAAUUUACUAUUAUAUUUAUAUGUAUAUUUUGAAUUUUAAUGUCCCUAUUAGUCUAUUUAAGUACGAGAAUUGUUGAUUGGUAACUCAGAAUAUCCAAAAAUGGGUCAUUGGUUCAAUUUUUUUUUUUUUUAAAAAAAGAAAAGAAAAGAAGAAAAAGGUUUCUGGGCUCAAUUCUUUCUAAAAUUAAUUGUAUGGUUCCCAAUUUGGGUCAAGGCGAAUGUUCUUGGGCCUUUAAAAGUGGAGUACCCAUAUAAUGGGCCUCCAAAGGAUUCGGCCCAUUUAUAUGCUUGUCAACGUCUCGUACCCGGGCCCGGGGCGAAACCAAAAGCGCAUCCAAAAAGUUAGUAACAGCUCGAAAUGUCAAAAUUAACCCUCACAUUACCAUCUCAAACUCGCCUUAACAAUGCCAGUUACCAUGUCUAAUUUCGUCCAAACAGUUAACCACAGACACCAGUACGCGCUUAUCAUGUUUCCUAAUAAUCCCCACUUGUUCCCCUCGUUCUUAUUUCCCGGAUCAGCGAAUAAAAAACUCGUCGAUAAUAAUUAACCAUGGAGGACCCCGAUUCCGAAUCUACCCCUCCUCCCGCCCCUAUCCCUUCUUCUUCCCAAACUACCCGGCCGCCCCCCCUCGUCGUCGUCCCUCCGCCUCGCCCGCGAGCUGGACGUGGAGGCCCUCAUCGCCGCGGCCGUGGGCUUCCCCGUGGACUCCCUCGCGGAGGAGGAGAUCGAGGCGUCCGUCGUCCCCGCCCUGGGCGGCGCCGCCCAGUCGAACUACAUCGUGGUCCGCAACCACAUCGUCGCGCGGUGGCGGUCCAACCCCUCCGCGUGGGUCACCGAGUCGCAGGCGCUCGAGUCCAUCCGCGCCGAGCACCGCGCCCUCGUCGCCGCCGCCUACGCCUUCCUCCUCGACCACGCCUACAUCAACUUCGGCCUCGCCCCCGCCGUCCUCUCCGCCCCGCCCCGCCGCGCCCCCUCGCUCCCGCCCCCCUCCGUCCUCGUCGUCGGCGCCGGCCUCGCCGGCCUGGCCGCGGCGCGCCACCUCCUCUCGCUCGGCUUCAAGGUCGCCGUCCUGGAGGGCCGCCGCCGCCCCGGGGGCCGCGUAUUCACCAAGCGGAUGGCCUCGUCCGCCGCCGAGUACCCCGACGUCGCCGCCGCCGCCGACCUCGGGGGCAGCGUGCUCACCGGGAUCAACGGCAACCCCUUGGGCGUGCUCGCGCGGCAGCUCGGGUUCCCCCUCCACAAGGUGCGCGACAAGUGCCCCCUCUACCUCCCCGACGGGCGCCCCGUCGACCCCGUCGUGGACUCCCGCAUCGAGGCCGCGUUCAACGAGCUCCUCGACAAGGUGUGCCGCCUCCGCCAAGCCGUCGCCGACGAGCUCCGGUCCGUCGACGCCUCCCUCGGCGACGCCCUCGAGGCCUUCCGCGCCGCCUACGGCGUCGCCGCCUCCCGCGAGGAGCGGAUGCUCCUGGACUGGCACCUCGCGAACCUGGAGUACGCCAACGCCGCCCUCCUCUCCGACCUCUCCAUGGCCUUCUGGGACCAGGACGACCCCUACGAGAUGGGCGGCGACCACUGCUUCAUCCCCGGCGGCAACGCCCGCUUCGUCCGCGCCCUCGCCCAGGACGUGCCCGUCUUCUACGGCCGCACCGUCACCAGAGUCCGCUACGCCGGCGACGGCGUCCUGCUGCAGGCCGGCCGCCAGCUCUUCCGCGCCGACAUGGCCCUCUGCACCGUCCCCCUCGGCGUCCUCAAGAAGGGCCGCAUCCACUUCUCCCCGCCGCUCCCUCCCCGAAAGCAGGCCGCCAUCCAGAGGCUCGGCUUCGGCCUCCUCAACAAGGUCGCCAUACUCUUCCCUUACGAUUUCUGGGACGGGAGCGUCGACACCUUCGGCCACCUCACGGACGACCCUAGCCAACGCGGCGAAUUCUUCCUCUUCUACAGCUACGCCUCCGUCUCCGGCGGCCCGCUCCUCGUCGCGCUGGUCGCCGGGGAGUCCGCCAUCCGCUUCGAGACCACUCCGCCCAUGGACAACGUCGACAAAGUGCUCCGAGUUCUCAGGAGAAUUUUCUCCCCCAAGGGAAUUGAAAUCCCCAAGCCACUCCAAGCUAUAUGCACUAGAUGGGGAACCGACAGAUUUGCCUACGGAUCGUAUUCGUACGUGGCCGUCGGGUCCUCGGGCGACGACUAUGACAUCUUGGCCGAGAGCGCGGGCGACGGACGGCUCUUCUUCGCAGGGGAGGCGACCAACAGGCGGUACCCUGCGACCAUGCACGGAGCCCUACUCAGCGGGUUUAGAGAGGCAGCUAAUAUCGCAAGGGCCGCGAGGAGGCGGGCCACGGGGUCGUCGGUAGCUGAGGGAACGUGUGUUAAGGACGACGUUAUGGAUUUGGAUGACCUCUUUCGAACUCCCGAUCUCUCUUUCGGCGCCUUCACGGUUCUCCACGAUCCUUCCUCUCCCGGCCCGGAUUCGACUUCCUUAUUGAGGGUGGGGAUAGGGGAGAGGAAGUUGGGGUCGGGUUCUCUUUUCCUUUAUGGGUUGAUUUCGAGGAAGCAUGCGGAGGAGUUGGCGGGCGCCGACGGAGAUGAUCGGCGGCUGAGCAUGUUGUACCGCAACUACGGGACGAAAUUAGCCGGGAGGAACGGUUUGGGUAGUCCAGGAGAGAGUCUUAUAGCACGUAUAAAAGCCACUAGGAGCGAUAGCAGCAAGUCGAGAACUGCGAAUGGAACUCAUAAUUCAUAGGAGAUUCAGUCCAAUUCUCAAUCAGAUUUAUUGAUUCAUUUGACUUGGUUUAAUGUUAUUGCUCGUGUAGGCAGGGGAUAGUUUCGUAAGUUCUGCUUGAUGAAGUAGGGGAAGUGACUGAAGAUGCGCUCGUUCACGGCAUAUCUGCCAUCCAUUCUUUGCUGCCUUUUUUAGUUGGGUAUUCGUCUAACCCUGGUGCAAUUGUCUUUCUUUAUAACAGUUUUCUGAUUCUGUAGAGUAUAGGUAAUCUCCUAAGGAGGUUUGACAUCUUACAAGACAUCUCUGUGAAAAUAAUUUAUAAACCUGAGAUUCAUCGGUCUAGAUAUUUAAGUAGGCUAAAUUAGCUAAUUAAGCUGAUUUGACUUUAGGAACUUGAGUUCUGAUGCAAGAAAUUUCGAGCAAAAUGUUAGUCAUUCUUUAGCAGAUAUUUUGUGUGAUAUUCUGGAAUUCAGUAAUUGCGUAGUGUGCCAUGCAUGUACAACUACCAACUGUGUUACUGCUGCUCUGUGGUUUUAUCGACCUAGUGAAAUGCAACUUAAAAUUUACAAAAGAAAUUAAUGUACUACAUGAGUUUUCUAUGGUUAUUUCUUAAAAAAAUAAUUUAUUAUAUGGGUUGUCGGCACCUUGUAUGGAUCUACUGCAGUAGCAAAGUAGAUAAACUGCAUAGCCACUAUUAUCCUGCUUUUAAGUUGCUAAACCCGUGCAGUGGGAAGGUCUCUGUACUGAUGAUGACAAUUGUGGGUGAAUGUUAUUAGCAGCUAAACUUGAAUAUUGUGUUGAAAUUUCCUUACUGUAAAGAAGGCCAGUUUAUAGUGAUCCUAUAUACUAUUCCUUCAUCCACAGAACAAGAUAUCACAAAAUGUAGUAACUUGCUUUAGUAUUCUUGUUCAAAUGAGCUUAUUUCCACAAUUCCUAGCAUCUAGCAUUAGAAUUGUAGUGUUGUAUAUUGCGCUGCUGCUUAUAGAAUUGUGGCAGUUCCAACCAAUAUUUGACCUACUGAGGUUAUUUUUUAGAUGCCUAGUUUUACGUUUCUUACACAUAAAAUUUUGCAUAAAAUUAGUGUUAAAUUAUAUAAGGUAAGACAGUUACAUCACUUGGCACCCAUAAAUGUUGCACAAAUUGCAUUUAUGAUCAUCAUCGCACAGCUGAGACUCAGAUUUUCCAAGUUCAUCCAGUAUCCUUGCUGUGUAGUAUACUAUAGUACUAACAGGAGAUGCUUAUGCUGUAGCAGGUUCAAUUUUCACAGAAAAACUUCCUCUGGCUACACCAGGUAUUUAUGAUGAACCUUUUUAUAGCAUUAUUCAUCGCAGUGAAUAGUUAUUGAUAGCACUCGCUAGCAGAGCAGGUGCCCUUCUCUUCUGUUUACAGAUGUAAGUGCUCUCUUUAUCGUAGAACUUUUAGGGCUUGUUUGGUUCAUCCAUUUUGGGUAUGGAAUGGAAUUCUGUUUGAUCAAAUCCAGUUAAUUUUGUUUGGUUCGCAUGAAUCGGUUUGGAAUUCCUAUUCCGGACUGGAAUGGGAAUGACCCAUUAGCCUUCAACUUGAUUCCGGUAUUCUAGCCCGGAUUGAGAUUUCAUUUCGGAAGCCCACUAAGUUCUCGAAGUCCAUGUGACCAUCUCACCCUCCUUCUCUUCACCCCUAUCUCAUCAAAAAAAAAAAAAAAAAAAUCUAUCCUCUCUCAAAACCCUAUCCCUAACCCACAUCAAUAAAAAUUUUUAAAAAUAAAUUUGAUUUUUUUUUUGAAAAACUUAUUAGAGAAUAGUAUUAUAUAUUUCAUAAAUUUUAAAUAAUAUAAAUUUAUAUUUGAGACUAAAAUUAGUAUUAUAGUAUCCUAUAAUUUUUUUAGUUUAUACGAACCAAAUAAUGAAAUGUGAAUAACUCAUUCAAAUUCUCAAUCCACAAAUAAACCAACCGUCUUGGGGGAGUGGACCAUUCUAAUUACCAUUUCAAUUCAUUUCCAUUCUAUUAUCUAUUCCAAUUCUAUCCUUGAACCAAACAAGCACUUAGUGGCUAUACAUAAAUGCUAGUAAAUUAACAUAACUGGAAAUUUUAUUGGCAGAGUAAGUGUAUUCAACCUAGUCGGUAUCUAUGUUGCAUAGGUACAAAUACAGGAUACAAAUACAAUAUGAUACGGAUACGGUGAUGUAACAAAUUUUGAAAAUUUUAUUAAUACAUACAGGAUACAUUAAUAAAAAAUUUAUUUGUCCUAUAUAUGAUUAUUAUAUACGAUAGUAUACAUUAAAAAAAAAGAAUAUUUGGGUGAUUAGUUAAUGUAAAGGUAACUUUAGUUCAUCAUCCUUCGGAUCUAAGCUACUUGAGAAUGAUUUCGUCCUCAAUUAGUGUUGAUAUAACUCUACCCCCUAUCUCACAGAUAUCUUUCACGUAUCUGUCAAAAAAUGUCAUAUGGAGUAUCUGACACAUAUCGGAUGUGUAUAGUGCAAGUAUUGGUAUCUGACACAUAUCUGAAAUGGAUAUGGCAGGUAAAGUAUCUAUGCAUCAUAGUAAGCAUUCUUCGACUAGAUUUGAUUAGACUAAAGGUACACAAUCUAUUGAUAAUAAUAUCUACUUUGUUAGUAUCGCUUUCCCAGGUAUUCCACUGCUCUCAAUGUUCUGUGAGCUUUUCACUGUGGCCCAACUCUUUGUUUAUGUUUUUUCUAAUGCAAAGUGCUACAAUUGUUCAUGUCACGAGCUCAGUGAAUCAGUGUGGGGUGCCUCAAUCCAAGUGCCCCUGCCAAUUCAGCAAGGCUCAGGAAAAGAAGACCUUUCCUUUCUAUAAUUCGUAGGCAAUGAACUCUGCUUGAAUGGAAUCUAAUGCAUGUAGAUGUUCUACUGGUCUCCAAUUUGGUGAAAUUUUUUUCGUCAUUUUAGUAAGAUUGAUGAAGUUUGGGAAGAUAACACAAAUGUUACUGUUAUCAGUUCCCAAGAAUGUUGCCCUUAGAGCUUGUUGAUGCUUCAGCGACUGUAAUAUAAAGAGAUCUGAUUGGUUUAUAUGCACAUCUUAAAGUGCUACAUGAAUUUGUUGACAUAUCUAAUUUUUUUCUUGGGGAUCUAAAGCAUUUUCCUGUAAAAUCAGGAGUCCUGUCUCUUCUGGUGACUACAAACAGCUUUACCUUGUUUAUGUCAAGGAAUUAUUCUGCAAAUGCUCUUCUCUACAUUAAGGUGAAGAUCCUUGCAAUACUCUAUAUAUAUAUAUAAAAAAAAAAAAUAGUUUGUAAGAGAAUUAUUUGUUAUACAAUAGAAAACGAUUCCCUAAUUAUCUUAACACUAUCAUUCUUGGGGAAGGAGAUGAGAAUAUGUAGUUGUACAUUUUUUGUCUAAUUAACAAGGAUGGUGAACCAACAAUCUGGUAAACAUAUGGAUCGUCCUUAAAACAGAGAGUAAAGAAUUUGAUGGUUCAUACAAUAUAUUUCAAAUUCAGAAUUUAAUUAUUUUAUAUCUUCAAUCAAAUUUAUUUUUAAACUCAUCUUUUUCUUAAAAUGAAAAAAAAAACUAUCUUGUAAACAUGGCCACAUGGGUCAAAAAAAUGUCCAUGCCCACUUGGCGUUCGACAAAAGUGAAAAUCUAGUUCACUGUUUUGAAGUUGACGAAGAUCCCAAUGUCAAAGACCAGCUGUAAUGAUUUGUCCCCAUCAUUAAUCUCAUUGCAUGGGCUCCUCUUAAGCAUCUUUUUGCGUACUUUAAUUAUCCACUACUACAAACUUAUUUAAGCAACUAAUUAAUGUCAAAUGAGGCCCCACCUAGGGGUGUCUAUGAGCUGAACAUAAGUGAGCUAAAAUAAGCUCAUACAAGAGCCGAAUACGAGUUAACUCAUUAGAAUAUCGAGAUAAAAAAUUCAGCUCGUGUUUGGCUCACUUAUUAAUGAGUCGAACACGAGCUACCUCAUGAAUAACAAGUUAAAAGAAUUAUAAAGAAUACGUAUAGAAAAUAAAUUCAUGAGAUUUUAUUUAUUUGGCUUUAAUCUAAUAGUUGAAACUUUAUAUAUAAAUAAAUUUUUUUUAUAAUUGAGUUGGGCUUUAUAUUUAGGUUAAGCUAAAAACCAAAUUAUAUAUAUAUAUAUAUAUAUAUAUAUAUAUAUAUAUAUAAUAUAUAAAUAUAAAAUAUAUGUAUUCAAGCUGUUAUUGAGUCGAAUACGAACGAGCUAAGUCCAACUUGUGUUCGACUCGUUUAUAAAACAAAUUGAAAAAUUCAGUUCGUAUUCGACUCGUUUAUUAAACGAGCGAUUGGAUCUUGAGCUCAUUUCGAGCCGAACACGAGCUGGCUCGCUAAUAGCGAGCUGGAUUGCCACCCUAGCCCCAUCUCCUCUUUAAUAAUUAGUCUUCUGUUAUCGACCGUCCCUAGAGCAAAUGGCAAAGGGUUUGGUGGUUGAUAUCUGAGACCCAAGUUCGAAUCCUAGUUGAUUCACAUUUCCAGCUAAGUUUAUUUCUAAAUGAAAUAAACGAAGCGGGUAGCGUGCUACCUAUCUCUUAAAGAAAAAUAAUUAGUCUUCUGUUCUAAUCCCUCUCUUCUGUUUGCAUGAUUCCUCAUGCGGCACAAUGGAAUGUAAAAUUGCUUUGGUUGAUGCAUGUUUAAGUUUAUAUCCAACUAUCCCACUGUAAAAUAUGUUUACUGUUUCAGUAAGUAUACAACAGAUUAAUAUAUGCUUACUAAUACGUUCUAUACUUAUUCAUAAUCAAUCGUUCUCCGCAAGUAGAUUUGUGGAAAGAAUAUUAUCACAUGCAUCUCAGUAAUAUUCAUUCUUUAGCAUCUUCAGAUUUUUUUUUUUUUUGAAGGGAUAGGUAGCACGCUACCCGCUUCGUUUAUUUCAUUUAGAAAUAAAUUUUGUUAGAAAUGUGAAUCAACUAGAAUUCGAACUUGGGUCUCGGGUACUAACCACCAAAUCUUUUGCCACUUGCUUUAGGAAUAGUCGGUAUCUUCAGAUAUUAUUCAGUUUGAAAAUUUUAUUUUUGUUUUAACUACAUUUAAGGAGGGUUAGGGGGACCAUAGGGUGACACGUGUCCCCCCCAAACCAUCCUUUACUCUCUCUCUAUCUCUCCCUCUCUCUCUCUCUCUCUCUAUAUAUAUAUAUAUAUAAUUUUAAAUUUUGAUACUUUAAAAUUUUAAAUAUUUUAAAUUAUAAAAUUUAAUUUUAACUUAUCAUAUUGAUUUCCAAAUUUUAAACUCCGAAAUUUAAAAUUUUAAAUCUCUAAACUCUAAGGAAUUAAUUAAUUAAUUUUAUUAAACAAUUUCUUAUACAAUUAUAUUUUUCUUCUAUUUAUUGAUUUUUAAAAAUUUAUUUUGAUAGAUUUAUCUCAAAUCCUUCAAAUAUAAAUCUUUAUAAAAUAAUUUAUUGUAUAAAUUUACUUUGCGCAUAUACCAAUUUUAAUGACUUUUAUUUAAAUAGAUUUAACUAUUAAAUUAUUUUCAUAUAUCUUUUAUUUAAUUAAUAAUUAAACUUAUAAAGCUAUAUAAAAAUAUUAAAAAAAUAAAAUUUAUUAUAAAAAUAUUUUUAUAUCCGUGGUAUCGUGCGGGUAUUUCACUAGUAUGUCUUAAUAAGGCGCAUCUGAUAGAAUUUUCGUACAAAACUUUUUUUUUUUCUUUUUUGAUAUUGCUCUUAUCCCUAAUUCUUAUGCCAUUCCCUGUCGGUGUGCAUUAAUUAGUAGAUGAGUUAAAAAUAAAAUAAAAUAAAAUAAAAUAAAAUAAAAGGAGAGAUGGGGAGAAGAGAGAGUGAGAGAUUCACAUGCUGCAUAUCGUUAUCCAACACUACAAAUUAAAUAGAGUGUUAUGUAGCCAUAGGAAUGGAGAAAUUUUUGCGUGCGCCUUUGUCUCUUUGUUAUGUAGGUAGCCUACAUUAUUAAUUAUGUCGACAUGGUUUUUAUCUAGUCUCACGCGCGUUUGGUUUGGCAUAAAACGAAUUAAAAAAUUAUUUUCAGUAUAAAAAAUAUUUUUCAUCUCUUUAGUUCGACCUGCAGAUUUGUAAAAAAAGUUAAAAUUUUCACUUUUCACUAUUUUUUAGCGAAAAACUAAAAAUCAAACUCUCUAAAGUUUUUUUCGUUUAUUUUGUUUAUCAAAUAAAAUAAUAUUGAUAAAAAAUUGAAAAAAAAAUUUCGAUGAAAAACUAUUUUUCACCGUUUUACUUUGAACCAAAUGGAGAGUUUUUUAUAUUUGCUUUUUUUAAAAAAAAUUCUUUUAAGUCGAUUGACGACCAUAACUUAGGCUUUGAAAUUGCCGAGAGAUUGCGGAGAGAUUGCGUUACGUGUGGUGAGAAAGUAUAUUGGAAAAAUAUUCUGUUUAUUUCCGUAUAUAAUAUUGCGUUUCGCAUAUCGCGAUGAGUCGGUUACGAUAUAUUUUCUGCGGUCCCACCGGAGAACGCAGAAGCAUAUCCCUGUAUGUUUUUUUCUCAACUCCAUUUUAUCUAAUAGCGUUUGAUAGAUCUCAGUACCAAACUAAGCCUUAGUCAUUUUCAGAAGCAGAGAAAUUGUU